UGUAUAUGUAUAUAUACACAUAUGUACAUAUGCGCCUGCGUACUUUGACCGGAACCGAAAGCUCCGGCAAUGGCGUCCGAGCUACAUUGUUGUCAGUCUAGGAAUGACUUGUAACAGUAAUGAAGCCAUGGAAUAUUUCACUCUACUCACUAUUUUCAACUGUACACGGGAUUAAAAAAAAAAGUGAAAGAUAAUUAUACACCUCAGAAAACGUAAAUUUUAUUUUUUAUUUAUUUUCUUUCAUUCUUAUAUAUAUUUUUUUUGUUAUUUUGAAAUAUUUUCCUACAGAAAAUAUAUAUGUAUAGAGAAAGAAGAAAAUAUUUAAUGAACAAUUAAGGAUUGUUUAAGAAAUUAUUGUUCUCAUGUAAAUUUUUAUUUUAUUAUCAUUGAUCGUUUUUUUUUUUUAACAAAAGCGAAAUAAUAUCAAUUUUGUUUUUAUGACUAUUUCUAGAUUAAUUGCAUGUGUUUACAUUUUUACUCUACUUCUAAAACAUCUAAAAUGUUUAUUCUUUUAACACACCUUCCUUUCUCCUCUUCUCUCCGUUUUGUGUUUCACUUUCGUUACAGAAUUGCACUUAAUUUCUCCUACUUUUUGGACUUGUAUUUCUGUAUUUGAUUUAAUUUCCAAAAAUAUUUUUCGGUUUUAAUUACUAAACCAUAAUGCAACCAAUAUGCCGUUUUAAGUACAAGUUUUAUUGAACGUUAAACAUUUAAUAUUUCUGAUAAUUUUUUUUUCAACAAAUUUUAUUGUAAAAAAAAAAAAUACUCGCAGAAAAAAACAUAAUCAACAAUGCAAAAUAUUUUCACUCAUUCGAGUGCGUCAAGUCUACUUUAAAAAAUUUUUUGUCAAAAUCUAAAAUUUGUAUCAUAAUUGUUAAAUAGAUAUCCAUCAAGAAAAGCUCAUUUUCAUAUGUAAAACACAAGUGCAUAAGAUAUCUUGUACUUUGUUUUCGUUUUAGGUUUUGCGACUAAAUCUGCCAUUUUCUCAUUCUUCAAUGCAUUCCUUGUUUGUUUUCAUUGUUUCCCUCUCUCCACUUUCGACUACUUUUUCUAUCUCUGUCUCUCCUUUCUCUAUCAACAUUGUCUGAUCGAUCAAGGCUGACCUGAGAUUACACAACAUGACAUGUACAAUUUCUAGAUGCACACACACACACACGGCUUCCUCUACAAAAAAGCUCCAGUUGCCCUUUGACAUCUCAUCCCCUUGACAUGUAAAGGCGGUUGCUUGUAAGCAAACCAAUGUUACAUUUGUUUAUACGUUUUUAUAUAUUCUUUGUUGGUAUCACAACCUCCGCUGUAACGUGUAUAUACAAUUAUUUGAUAUCAGUAAUUUCUUCUUACUCUCUUUUGUGUUCAAAUUCCACUAGAAUCGAUGUUAUUUCAAAGGGUGAAAGCAGUAAUGAAGUCGAUUGAGUCAACUUUGUCCACCACUACCCUAUAAAGUUGUAGUUUUGUGUCAAUACAUCAAACAUUGUAUUAUAUGGAAGAUUUUUUUUCUUCCUUAUUUCGUUCCUCACUGAACAUCCCUGGACGAUUCCAGUUGCAUAUUGAUAUUUCUGGGAAGAGGUUGCUGUUUCUGGAGAGAAGGAUGUAUGAGAGGUACCCCACGAUCCUUUCUUACGGCGCAACGUAGCCAAUUCAGAGAGAAAGCUAAAAAAAAGAAUCAACCCUCGUACUUGAUUGGGGUUUUAUUUAUCAACCCCAAAAGAAUGGAAGACAAAUUUGACUUCUAGGGGAUUUGAAUUCACAGCUCGGAGACCGGUAACAAAUACCGCAAGACAUUUUAUUCGAUACUCUAAUAAUAUUUGCCAAUUCGCCACCCUAGAUAUAUGUCUAAAACAUUGUUACAAGGCCACAAAUUUGCAAGAAAGGUGAUAAUUGACUGAAUUUCAUGCCCUCAGACAAAUAUAUUAGUGUUACUUAUUGAUCGACCUCAGAAAGCUGAAAGCAAUGUCAAUUUUAGCAUGCAUGGCUCGAAUAUGAAACGUAAACAGACGUUAUGGCCUUGCACUUUACUGUAUCAACUACUAUUAGAAUUUUGGGCUCAUAAUCUAGUAUUGUUUGAUCUCAAUAUAAACAGAUUUUGACACAGUCUUAACAGUAGUGGCAGCCGGUUAAUAUCUAGUGGCAACCGUUUUCCUAAAUACGUGAAUUUUUUGAAAAAAACCCCAAACAAACUGGAAGUCAAAUCUCAGUAACCAAAAUAUCUUUUUGAAUAAACAUAAAGCCUUAGGUAUUUAGAGGAAGAGGUUUGAACAAUUGUCAAACGAUCAUCCCUUUAUGGGACGGGCACUUUUGAAAGUACGUCAAGUGGAAUGGUAGGAAAUGAUUCGAAACCGGGUCGCAUACUCGGCGCACAGGGUUGACUCACUGCUAAUUUACCUUUUCACCCUACAGCACUUGCCUUAUUUCUGUGUUAGCAAUAUUGACAGAAACUGAGUCAAUAAUAUAGCUAGGAGUGGUACUAUGUAUUUCACCAACCAAACAUUCUUUAGAGAAACCUUAUCUUCUCGAAUGUUACACGUCAGUUUUUCUAUUAAUCAAUUGAAAUGUGGACAUAUUUAUAAACAACUUUAUCUACACACAUUUUCAAUCUUAAACUGAUCAGCUUAGGACAGAAGCGUUAUUUCUCAUUGCACAUUGCUUUAGAUAAAAGAAAAACUUCUCGCAAGGACUGACGUUUGCUGAUAAGUACAACACAGUUGUUACCUGCAGGUUUUAAAAGAGCCAUGCUGUUAUUCUCAUUAUGAUAUUACCUAUCUGAACGUAAGAUGAUCUUCAGGAUUCAUGUGGAGGGUGAAAAUGGAAGGUAACCCCCAAAUUAGCUAUAAAUAAAUGUAAGGCUCUGUUUGAAUUCUUCAAAUAUUUCGGAGUAGGAGAUGUUAAAAAAUACUAUACCCCACGAUUAAUGCUAAUACCAAGAAUUAAAUUCGCAAUUUCAAAAAAAAAAAUCGUAUCUUAACAAAUUUUACAAUCCUGAAACAAACAAUUGAAGAAACAUAAGCCUUAUCCAGCGCACACUGAUUCGAAUUAAGUGGUUUAUUUAGUUUUAGAUUGACUAAUUUUCUCCUUCCUGUCGUUAAGUACUUUCAUAAAAAAAAAAUUGUUUAUUUCUUCUGCGUUUUGUGUUGUAUAUUUUCUUCAAAUGGCUUGUUAGAAUAAAAUCAUUUUACAACAUUUAAAUAUCUCCUCACAUUUGUCUUUACGCAUAAUGAAAUACAAUUUGUAUUUUAGGGACAAGCGACACAUCAAUCAAAUCUGAAAUUAUUUCUGAGUUCUUUGUAUGCGUGCGCGCGCGUGUGUGUCUGUGUGUUUGUAAAUAUUUACUAAUGAUGGAUUGUAAACGAGGAGUGGAAAUGAAACAAAAUUCCUCUGUGAUUUAUUCAGCUGACUCUAUUGCUAAGGUUAAUUUUUUCGUGUUCAUUAUUUCAUUAUAACAAAUUAUUUACACCACCACGUAGAGUUUUAGUGUUGAUUUGUUAUUCUAGAAUAUUUAUGUAAGCGAAACACAUUAUUUAUGAUAAAGCUCGGCGAAGACGCAAACGUCACUUCUUAAAUAUUCUUACGCUUUAAAUGUUUUUCUGUCAGUAAAACCGAGUUUUCACCAAAAUCUGUAAGCUAUCGAAAUCUUUUUUUUUUUUAUAAUUGUCUUUGUCCACUCUGGUUUAUUGUCAGAACAGAAUUUACGUUUAGCUUUCCUUUUUCUUUUUCAUUUUUAUGGCAGUCUUAUUGAGAUUAUGUAGUCCGUGUAUGUUUAUUUUAUUUCACAUGAAAUUGUUAUUUAUCUAUGUGAAUAUAUGUUCCAGAACAUGCUUUAUGUCAUUUUCCCAGAUCAAGGGGAAAAAUAGCUUGGGGACGGGAUGGGGUGGGGUGGGGGUUUUUCUGUGACAAAUUUUUAUCGUUAAAAAUGUGAAAGCAUUUUAUCAAGGAGGUACAACAUAAAUUAACUGUAUGCUUUUUGCAAUUUGAAUAUUCCAUUUUGCUCUUAGAUAUUCUAUAAAUAAACAAGAUGAGGGAAAUUGCUAAUCACAGAUAACUAAAAAUAUAAAACCGAGCUUGUUAUGAAAAUUCACCUUACAGCUAGAGAGAAACAUACAGCUAUACUUUAAUGUGGAAAAAAAGUUAUUGUUCCUAUCUUGAAAUUUAUGAAGGUUAUAAUGAGUUGAAAUGUGAGUAAAGAAUUGUGUGUCUUUGUUGGAUAAGUGUGAGAAUUAAAUGACUUUAUCUCUCCAGAUAUAAAAGUUAUAUCAAAGAAAGAAAGAAAAAUAUUUGUUGUGUGUGUAUGUGUAGAUAACCCUUUAUGUAUCAUGCUUUGUAUAUACACCAUCAAUAGGCAAAUUUUUGUGUUUAUCAUCCUAAAUAAAAUCUCUUAUGGACAUGCUAUAUUUAAAACAAUAUACAUGGGAGGGAGCUGAAAGACACCUUGGCUUGCAAGAAUGUCAUGCAUUUCAUCCUUCUUAAGCAUUGUCAAUGACAUGUACUCAUUGUUAACCACAUUCUUAGAUGAGACCUGCCAUCUCUGAUAUAGAAAAUUGUGGAUUAUACAUUCACUAGUAUUGCAAAUAGCUGUUGGGCUGAAUAAAUAAUCUGGUGAAUGCAAUUGAAGCAGCACUAAAUUACUUCAUGUAUAUACACUGUUGACAGGCAAGCUACUGUGGUGGUCUUCUGAGAUAAAAUCUCUUAUGGAUGUGUUGUGUUCAGAAACAAUAUAUUUCAGAGAGAGAGAGAGAGAGAGAAAAAGACAAAAAUAAUAAUAAAUUCAUCUCAGCAGCAGCUAGUGAGAAUAUCAGAUGCACAUGCAGGAUUUUCCACCUCAGAUGUAAGAAACUGAAUAAUACAUUCACUAAUAUUGUGAAUAGUUGCAGGGCUCAAUAAAUAACCCAAUGAGUGGAGGGUUGCAUAUUGAAACAUUGUCUUGGUAUGAUAAAUAUAAUUGAGCAAGGCUGCAAUUUAGUUUUAAGAGACCAUAUGCAUAUACACACGCACACUUUUUAAUUGUGAAAAUAAGCAAUGUCUUUGAAAUCUUAUAGUGAAUGAUUUAUAUUGGUUAGGAAAUCUGUUUACUGAAUGAGUGAAAGGAUUUUUUUCUGUGUUUUUGUUUUCUUUGCAUUUCAAAUAUUCAUUAGUAUAUACAGUCUCUGAGAAUAACAUUCGAACUUAUUUGCUUUUACUUCAGAAUUUGAUUGUCAUAUAAAUCAUCCUGUAUUAACUUCCUGCAUGCUUCCACUCUAUAAUAUUGUUAAUGUAAUAGAAUCUGAUUUUGAUGGCAUACUUUAUAUUAUUGGUUGCUUCUCAAACAAUGAGUUCUCAUUAAUGAUUAUUGAAUUUCUAAUCUUUAAGAUAGUCUCUGAAUUAACAACUUGAAAAGCUGCUUUUAUUGCAUUAUGUAACUUUAUUUCAUGGAUGGCUGAAUGAUGAGAAAUAUUUACUGCAAACUUCCAGGGAUCCUGUUUGUCUUUUGUUUUGUAUUUCUGUAUUCUGCUAAAUUCUUUAAUUUUUCCUGUACUUUGAAACCAGUACUUCUCCUAUGUUUUGAAACCAGAACUUGCUAACAAUUAUUGAUAGCAAAUUUUUGUUCCAAAAUAUUUUAAGAUUUGAUCAGAAAAUUUUUUAUAACAAUUAGUAUCAUUUCCUCAUAUGUUUGAAGAAAUACAAGAUGCUAUUAAAUAACAACCAGUAUAAUGUAAUAAAAACAGGCAAAUAAAACAAAAUGCCUGUUACCAAUGACAAUAUGAGAUAGUAAAUGGUAAUGUAAUGAAAUAUUUCUUUUAAUAUAUUAUAUAGCCAUGAAACCUAAGCUUCUUUAGAAGAAGGAAACUUAUCAGUGCUACUUUAGUGUGUGGUCUGAUGCAAAUUCCAUAGUCUACAUUAUGAAAUGAUCUGAUCUGGGCUUCUGCUAAACUGCAUGCUAAUGUGUAAAAGGUCAGGUAGACCACACACUAAAAUGGCACCUAAUUAUCACUGUUUCUUGCCUUUCAUGCUUUUCUUAGUGUAAUUUGUGACAUAAAUUGAAUAGGUUCAAGUUGGGAAUUGAAACUGGUUGGUGACUAAAUUCACCAAGAAUUGACUAUCACUUGGUGGCAUUCAAUGACAAGUUUUUCUACAGCCCAGUAAGCUUCCACAAUACCAGUGGAUGGUUUAUUCAUUGUUACCUAUAUAUCAAGGCAUGACUUUCAUCUAAGCAAGUGACAGUUGGGUGCACAGCAUUGACAAACUUCAAGAAAGGUGAAACACAUCUGUCAUUCUCAUGAGUCACUGCAGUGAUGAUGUUUGUUUUGCUCUGAUAUAGUUCACAAGUCUAUGAAAAGAUUUUAUAUCAGAGAAUUCCACAACAUUAUGCCUUUUAACAAUGUGUAUACAUAUAGCAUAAUACACAGAAGUUUAUAGAUACAGGAGUAGCUGCGAGGUAAGUAGCUUGCUUACCAACCACAUGGUUCUAGGUUCAAUCCCACUGCAUGGCACCUUGGGCGAGUGUGUUCUACUAUAGCCUUGGGACGACCAAAGCCUUGUGAGUGGAUUUGGUAGAUGGAAACUGAAAGAAACCCGCCGUAUGUAUAUAUAUAUAUAUAUAUAUAUAUAUACAUAUGUGUGUGUGUGUGUCUGUUUGUCCCCCCCCACCAUCGCUUGACAACCGAUGCUGGUGUGUUUAUGUCCCUGUAACUUAGCGGUUCAGCUCAAGUGACCGAUAGAAUAAGUACUAGGCUUACAAAGAAUAAGUCCUGGGGUCGAUGUGUUUGACUAAAGGCGGUGCUCCAGCAUGACCGCAGUCAAAUGACUGAAACAAAAAAAAGAAUAAAAGAUGGAGACAGAAUGUAUUUUACUCAAGAAGAGACUGAUCAUGUCAUAUCUAUGCUCUUUGGAGGAUAUCUUUAUGGGUACUGAUUUAAACCAAAAACUAAAUUAGGAUUUCAGACUUGUUUUUUGCUCAAUGAUAAUUAUUCACCUUUUCAAGUAAUUAUUGAUAUUUAUAUUACUGUUCUACAACAAAUUAACAUUUUCAGGAGAUUAUUUCUUUUUAAAGAAAAAAAUCAUUAAAUAAAAGAAAAAAAAGUAUUAAACUAUUUUAAGAUGUGAAGUGUUUCACCAUUAUCAAUGGAAAAAUCGAGUAAGAUGUCAUUCAUUUACAGUACACUAGACAUGAGUGCUUUGUUGCUACAAGUUCUGUUUUGCUCUUCCUUACCUUUUGAUCCUACGGUGAAUAGUAACCUUUCAACACACAACUUGACAUACUUUACUUUAUUUCUUUUUCUAUUUCUUUUUCUAUUUCUUUUUUCAACAACUUCAGUACCUCUUUUCAUAGACACUUUACAAGUCACAAAAUUACUCUCAAUUGGUUGCUAACACUGAAUCUGACUUUUCUAAUUUAGUAGUUUUCAGCUUUAUUGAUUUAGCAGAAUGACACCCCUUAUUUCAUGUUACUAUUUCCCUGAACUUUGUAACAGUAGGUUAUUCUUUUCUUUAUGUAUGUAUAUAUACUGUUAUUAAUUUAUUUUUCUGUAGUAUAAAUACUUCAAUUUGUCGUUUCAAUGAGUACCACUUUAAAUUGUAGCCACUAAACUAGAAAACCAGUUUUCAGUCUAAAUUCACUGAGUGGGUGGGGGUGUCAUGUUUGGAUAGUUUCAACAUUGUAUUUUUCUGUCGUCUGUCUUUAUUUAUCUCAUAGGCGUAGGAGUGGCUGUGUGCUAAGUAGCUUGCUAACAAACCACAUGGUUGCUGGUUCAGUCCCACUGCGUGGCACCUUGGGCAAGUGUCUUUUACUAUAGCCUCGGGCCAACCAAAGCCUUGAGUGGAUUUGGUAGACGGAAACUGAAAGAAGCCCGUCGUAUAUAUGUGUAUUUAUAUAUAUAUACACAUUUGUUUGUCUGUGUUUGUCCCCCAACAUCACUUGACAACCGAUGCUGGUGUGUUUACGUCCCCGUAACUUAGCGGUUCUGCAAAAGAGACUGAUAGAAUAAGUCCUGGGGUCGAUUUGUUCAACUAAAGGCGGUGCUCCAGCAUGGCCACAAUCAAAUGACCGAAACAAGUAAAAGAAUAUCCCCAUUUUUAGUAUUUCUGGUUUUGUAUUUUCCUGACUGCCUACAGAUAAAUUCAGCUUAUUUCUUUUUUGCUUAAAGUUACCUAAAACAUAGAUAGGUAAGCUGCUAUAGCUAGCAUAUUGACAUGUAGAAACUCCUUUGUUAGCUUGUCUAAGACCAUAUAUAUCAUCAUCAUCAUCAUCAUCAUUUAGCGUCCGUUUUCCAUGCUAGCAUGGGUUGGACGGUUCUGCUGGGGUCUGUGAAGCCAGAAGGCUUCAUCAGGCCCAGUCAAAUCUGGCAGUGUUUCUACGGCUGGAUGCCCUUCCUAACGCCAACCACUCCGUGAGUGUAGUGGGUGCUUUUUACGUGCCACCCGCACUGGUGCCAGCCAGAGCUGGCAAACGGCCACGAACGGAUGGUGUUUUUUAUGUGCCACCGGCACGAGGGCCAGGCGAGGCUGGCAACGAACACGAAACGGGGCGGUGCUGGCAACGGUCGCGAAACGGAAGGUUCUCUUACAUGCCACCGGCACUGGUAACACAUCUGCAAUUUCCAUUGAUCGAUUUCCAUUGAUCGAUUUCGAUUCUGAUCCUCACUUGCCUCAAUGGGUCUUCACAAGCAGAGUUUCGACAUGCCACCGGCACUGGUAGCACAUCCGCAAUUUCCAUUGAUCGAUUUCGAUUCUGAUCCUCACUUGCCUCAACACGUCUUCACAAGUAGAGUUUUGUGUCCCAAGAAGGGAAGGUAUGCAUACGUAGGCUGGCUCCAUCCCAUGUAGAAGGCCACGGGUUGUGGACUCACUUGUCCUGCCGGGUCUUCUCGCGCACAGCACACUUCCAGAGGUCUCGGUCUCUAGUCAUUUCCUCGGUGAGACCUAAAGUUCGAAGGUCGUGCUUCACCACCUCGUCCCAUAUAUAUAUAUAUAUAUAUAUAUAUAUAUAUAUAUAUAUAUAUAGGUAAAAAGCACUGGCACUGGUGCCAUGGAAAAAGUACUAGUGCUGGUGCCAUGUAAAAAGCACUGGUGAUGGUGCUUUGUAAAAGCACCCAAUACACUCUGUAAAGUGGUUGACAUUAGGAAGGGCAUUCAGCUGUAGAAAACGAGCCAAAACAGACUAUGGAAUCUGGUUCAGCCCCUAGCCUUGUCAGCUCCAGUCAAGCCAUCCAGUCCAUUGCAAGAAACAUGAUUAAAUAAUUAAAAAAUAUUGGUUUCAAAUUUUGGCACAAGGCCAGCAGUUUUGGGGAAGGGAAGUAGAUUACAUCAACCUCAGUGCUCAACUGGUACUUUUUUUAUUGGCCUCGAAAGGAUGAAAGAUAAAGUUGAACUUGGAUAGUUAAAGAAUAUUAAAAUUGGCUCAAAUUUAGAGGAUAGGUAGAGUCAAUUAGAAUGGCACCAUGACUCAACUGGCAUAUAUUUUAUUGACUUUCGCAAGAUGAAAGGCAAAAUCAAUUUCUGGGAUUUGAACUCAGAAUGUAAGGGUAUACAACUAUAUUACUGGGAGACAUUUUGUUCAUAAUAGUAUAGUAAAACCUAUUUUAAUAGUUCAUCCUAGAAUUGCAUCGUUUUAGUCCAGUUUUAGUUUUUGUAGUUAGAGUAUAUAGGCAGUAGGGAAAUCCCAUGGUUGAGCAGUAUGAGGGUUAAUUAAUACACUGUGCUUGAAACAAUUUAUUCCUCCCUUCCUCUUCAACAAUUGGUCUUGUUAAAUAGAAAAAUGAGGAUUUUUUCUUUUUUCUUUCUUAAUCUUGAAGACAAUUGGUGUGGUGGUAAGCAGUUUGUAAAUAUAUUGUCAUUCAGUUUUAAUUCUUUUUUGGAAUUGGAGUGUCUUUAUUAAGUUGUACCCAAUAGAAAGAGAGAGUGUGAUCAGCACAACUGCAAGUCUAUUUCCUUAUAAUCUGAAGCCUUUUACAUAAUUCUAAAAUUUAGUAUUUUAUUAAUUUUGGAUUUUAUGAUAUAGUAAGUUCAUUGGCUGCAUUUUGCAUGCUUAAAUGUGCUUCCAAAAUCUACUUAUUUACUUGGUUUUUUGCUAUUAUUAAAGUUGUUAGAAAGUCUCUUCUUUAAAAUACCCCUUUUAAAGGUGGUUCAACUUUGACUUCUUUGUGGUCAUAUUUCUAUUGAAAUAUAUUUCCUGUAUUUCAGUUAAUCUUAAAAAUAAUCAUUUCACUGGGAUUUGAUAAAAUAACUUUUUCGUUAUCAAACACGUGUUGGGAACUUAAAACUUAAAAGAAGGUUCUCUGAUAAAAUUAAGGCUGAAGAUUUCGUUUUAACUAUUUUAAGUGAAUGCAUUUUGUAUUGGAACAGGUGCAGUCACAGACAGGCUGAUAUCAAAAGGUUUAAUAAAAAAUUCAAUUUUAGAAUAUUAGUUUCAAAUUUUGGCACUAGGCCAGCAAUCUCAGAGGAGGGGCUAAGUCGAUUACAUCAACAGCAGUGCUCAAUUUGUACUUAUUUUAUCCACCCUGAAAGGAUGAAUUGCAAAGUUGACCUUGGUGUGCUAAUAAUUCUACCACCCAGAAGGGAAAUCUCAUGGUUGGGCUGUAUAAGGGUUGUUUACGUAUUCUAAUUUGUAAUUUUUUUUUACACAUACAAUGAAAAACAACAUUUUAUGUUAUGAGAGGGAUAUAUUUACAAAUUCUUACAAGUCACCAUUUGUAGUACUUCUGUAUCACUUAGUAUCAUUUUUAGAUACACCAGUGAAAUACUUAGCACUUCCUUGUAAUAAUACUGUCCAAAUGUAACUAAUCUUCUUUCUCUACUUUCUCUUAGCUUAAGUUCAUCUGUCUCAGUAUUUUGAGACUAAUUUGUUAUCUGGAAACUUUCUUUAUUGCUGAUUCAUGGCUCUUGUUACUGGUUUGCAACUUGACCUUGCUAAAGAUGGUGACUGUUUUACACAGAAAUAGGAAAGAUAUUUUGUUGACCCUCGAAUCAUAAACUCUUCACAGACUUGUUAGAAUGUGCCUUGUAAUCCUGAUAAACAUCCACUUAUUUCAAGUACUUUAUAAACUUAUGAGAAAUUCUAUAAGCUUUUAUCCUUUUUGUGAUGUCCUGAGAUGUUGAGGAAUGACAAAUUUGAUGUUUGUUUUAGUUUUUCUCUUCUCUAGCUAAACUGAUAAGGGUGUUUUCCUUCUUUUAGUAUACUUUUAAAUGAGAGGGUGUUUUCAUUCUUUUAGUAUACUUAUAAUGAAACAAAAAGCAAUUCUACACAUCAGGAUUUAAGUAUUUGCUGCUAGGUAGACUGGGUUCAUUGAGUUAGGUAAACUAAGACAUGAAAAACAAAAAGUGAAUAUUAUGAUCAAAGACAAAAUAUAUGCUUAUAUUUGAACUUGUGACCCAAGAUUUAGUAGUUCAAUACCUUAUCCACAUAUCUAUUUUGCUUUUAUAUAUGUAUGUAAUAGAUGUCUUCAUGAAAAUCUUUUGUAAUUAACAAAUAUAUUUAUAUAGAUUUCUAUUUUCAACAUUUUGUCUCUUAUUAAAAAAAUAUUUUUACUGAGUCUUUAAUUUUUUUUCUUCUGUAGUGACAUCAAAGGAGCAAGGGUAGUACCCAAGUCCUAGAUAGGUCCUUUGAGACUGAUGAAAUCAAUACAAUUGUUUAUUCUUGAACAUUUAUAAGCCAAUGUGAACAAUCUAAGAGAUUGAAUUUCUGCAGAAGAAAGACUUGAUAAGGUGAUUAGUAUGGGGGCUUGGAGGUGAGACUCCAGUGUGAUGAGAGGAAAGACAGGUGACCUGGUGGAGGUGGUGUGCAACUAGUUAGUUCAGAGGAAUGUGACAGGUGUGUCUGAAUGGAAGUGAUAUGCAAGUAGUUAGUUGCUGAGUUUAUAAGCAAAAAUGUGUAUUGGAAGCUAUGAAAGAGAGAACUAGAAGUAGUAUGAAAUUAAUAACAUGCAGGUUGAAUAACAGCAACAUUGUGUAUAUAAGAGGGUAUCUUUUAAUUACAAAAAUGAGAGAAUUUACAGGUCUCUAAUUUCUAGAUAUAUGAAAGAAUUGUAAAUGAUGCAAAACUGAUGCAAAAAUUGAACAAUUAGUAGUCAGAAACAAUGAGGGAAUCUCUCUAUAAUUGCUUGACUUGCUAGAAGUAACAGUAAAUCUUUCUUGUAACAAACCCUAUUAUCUUUAAAAUGAGGAUACCUUGAAUAAUGUAGUCCUUGACACAUGAUGCCUGAAAAAAGAUAAAAUGAUUAUGGCUGGGAUACCUAUGAUCAUGAAUACACAGAUCAUAAAAUAUGCAAUUAGUUCCUUAUGAUGUUAUAAUAGCAGAUAUAGAGGCAUAAUCAAAUUCCAUCAGCUGUAUUUCCUCUACUCUUAUCUUUGUACUUUGUCAAGAAAUUGACAUUAUUGUAACAAUCUCUUUGAACUUUAUUGCCAAAAGUACUCAAGUUUUGUGUCAAAGUAUUUCAUAUAUGUUGCUGUUAGUGCCAAAUGUCAUUUAAGAAAACUUCCAGAUGGGCCACACAUACUUCUCAAUACAGUUCCUGUAGAUAUUAUCCAAUAUACAUGUAUAUAUGUGUGUGUGUGUGUAUACAUAUGUAUAUGUGUGUGUAUAUAUAUAGUUUAUUAAGAUAAGAUCAACAAAAAAGUACAUACAUAUAUAUAUAAUGUAUAUAUUUAUUUUAUUGUUAAGAUAAGAUCAGCAAAAAAGUACUCCAUUCAGUGAGAGAUAAAUAUUUAAUGUAUAAAAAUAAGCACUACUAAUAGUUUAUUGCUGUGAAGACACAUGGCUAGGCAUGUUACAAAUACCUGCCCAGCCACCUGUCUUCACAGCAAGGAACUAUUAGUAGCGCUUAUCUUUAUACUGUGUAUAUUAAAUGAUAUGUAUGUAUUUAUAAAUGUAUGUAGAAUAUAUGUGCUAUUGUCUCCUUGCCUUGAUGUCAUGUGAUAGUUGAAGAUGAAUGUCUCCAUAAUUGCAGUGUUGUUUGUUCCCACAUUUCUGUGAAAAACAUGUCUGAUCAUGGGAAAAUAUUACCUUGGUAACAGGCGAGGGUUUGUAACAGGAAGGACAUCCGACUAGAAAAUCCACCUCAAAAGUUUCUGUUGGACUCUUGUAAGCAAUGGAAAAGUGAGUGUUAAAACAAUGACGAUGAUGAUGAUGUUCCUUUGUCAACAUUCGUUUUUGAGGAGAUUUUGGAAUUCAGUAAAGCCAAGUUAUCUCUUCGUCAAAGUUUCAUUUAAGUAAAAUGCUUGUCGGUGUUCAGGAUGAUGUAGUAUAGUGUUUUUUUAAUCAAAUUGAGUUAAUGCUUUUAGGUAAGAAAUAAUUUCUAAAAUAUAAAAUCUUCCCUUAUACUAUCAGAUCAGACAGUUCUGAAAAUUCAGGUAUUUGUGUUUUGUUCGAAUAUUUUUACAUCACUAAAUGCUCUUCAUAGUGUUUAUAUUUACAUCUUUUGAAGUGAUAACUGUGGUGUUAAAUCUUAACCUGAGACAACUAGAACAGUGUCUCUCACCUACAGAUACACUGUAAUGUUGUAUGUUGUACUUUUUUUAGAUCAUCCAGACACUUUGUCUCUGAAGUUGCUGCACCUUUAAAUUAUUAUUUUUAACCCCAUUAUACCAGAUUAGUCAUUUCAUUGUUCUUAAUUUUAUUUUUGCUGUCAAACCUAAGGCCAUACUUGAGUGCUGCCUUCAUACUGGAACAUGAGUGUAGGAAGUAAGAAUUUAGGUUUCUUGUAUUUCUUCAAUUAUUUUUUUUUCUUUCUCUCAGUAACAGUAAAACCUAAAUUAUGACUAAUUUAUUUAGAAGGAAUUGUAACAAAUUAAAAAUAACUUAACAGAUUUACUUGUAAAGCUAGUUGUAUGUAACAGUUAUUUUCCAUACAUGAUGUCUGUUUAUGGUAAUGUUCUUUGUUUAUAAGUUAUAAAAACAAAAUUAAAAAAGGGCUCUUUUACACAUUUGUUGUCACUAGACAUUAAGUUAAAAAAAUUAAAACUUCAUGUAAUUUAAUUUUUUUUUUGCUAUAAUGAAGUAUAAAACCAAAACUUUUACAUGACUAAUAUAUAUUUAUUUUAUUAGAUAUAUUAUUAUUAUUAAGGCAGUAAGCUGAUAGAAUCAUUAGCACGCCUGGUGAAAUGCUUAGCAGUAUUUCAUCUGCUGCUAUGUUCUGAGUUCAAAUUCCACUGAGGUACACUUUACUUUUCAUCCUUUUGGGGUCGAUAAAUUAAGUACCAAUUGAACACUGGGGUUGAUGUAAUUGACUCAUCCUCUCCCCCAAAAUGGCUGCCCAUGUGGCAAAAAUUUGAAACCUUUCUUGUUAUUAUUAUUAAGAUGGUGAGCUGGCAGAAACGUUAGCAUGCCUGGGCUAAAUGCUUAGCAGUAUUUAUCCAUCUUCACGUUCUGAGUUCAAAUUCUGCUGAGGUUAACUUUGCCUUUCAUCCUUUCGGGGUUGAUAAAAUCAGGGUUGUGAAGUUGGAGUCAGAAACUAUUAAGGAGUAGCUGGAGUCGGUAAAACUAUAUUGACUCUGACUCCGAUUCACAAUAUCUUUAUUCUUUAAUAUAAAAGUAUAAACCAGUUAUAACAAAUAGACCUACUCAAAGUACAAGCUUAUGCAUAUGCUUUAUGAGAUAUGUAGACCACAAUCACUUAAUUACAUAAAGAGGAGUCAGAGUCGGAGGAACCAAUAGUAGGAGAGUCAGAAUCAAAGUUUUUUGUUUCGACUCCACUGCCCUGGAUAAAAUAAGUGUGAGUGAAACACCAGGCUUGAUGUAAUUGACUCAUCCCCUCCUCCAAAAUUGCUGCCCUUGUGGCAAAAUUUGAAACCAUUAUUAUUAUCAUUAUGAAGGUAGCAAACUGGCAGAAUCGUUAGCAUGCCAGGUGAAAUGCUUAGCAGUAUUUCAUCUGCUGCUACAUUCUGCGUUUCAAUUCCACCGAGGUCAAUUUUACCUUUCAUUCAUUCAUGAUUGAUUAAAUAAGUAUCAGUUACACACUGGGAUUACACACUUAAUCCCCUCCCCCAAGUUUCAGGCCUUGUACCUAUAGUACAAAGGAUUAUUAUUAUUAUUGAGGCUGCAAGCUGGCAGAAUUGUUAGAAUGAUGGUUGAAAUGCUUAACGGUAUUCACUAUGUUCUGAGUUCAAAUUCCUCCUAGGUCGACUUUGCUUUUAUCCUCACAGGGUUGAUAAAUUAAGUACCAGUGAAAUUUUGGGGCUGAUGUAAUUGACUAGUCCCCUCCCCCAAAACUUCAGGCUUUGUGCCUAUAAUAGAAAGGAUUAUUAUUAUUUGUUGUUGUUGUUGUAAGGAAGGUAGGUAGCAAAAACAGUAGAGUACUUUGGUAUCUCCUGUAAUCGUAUUACAACAUUCUGAGUUCAAAUCCUACCAGGGCUGCCUUUAUUUUCCAACUCUCUGGGGUUCAGUUAAAAUAGUAUAUAUAGUAGCUUGAUUAUAUAUAUGAUAAUCUCUCUCCCCUUCCCUCUCUAUCUCUCUCAUGUUUGGUUGGAGGGAUGCUUGAGUUUGUCCAUAAGCUUUGUAGUGUGGUCUUUCCUCUUGUUCUUGAUGGCCUGGGAUAAAAAUUGGCCCUUUCUCAACUUGUAUGAGGAAUACUGAAUGUCUUCAUGCACUCCCUGCCUGAUAAGAAACUCAGAUACUCCCAUGUCCCUGGUGAUGGAUCUGAUUGACUUGAAGGAAUUGUUGUCAAUCAUGGCCUGGAUUUCACCAACAAAUUCAGUAGUUCUUUUCUUAUCAGAAUGAUCAGAGUGAGUUUUCCAAGCUGCCAUAAUUUCAUAAUCACCACUAGACUCAUCCAACUCUUUCUGAAGCCUCUGCACUGUCCUCUGAUUAACACCCAAACACUCUGAAAUGUUCAUUUAGGAGCUUCUGGCAUGAAUGCCAAGCAGUACAGCAUGUCGUUUCCAAAUUUCCAGUGAAGUGCUGUUUUCCUCACAAACAGUGCCCAACUGACUCUACUAUACUGUGUAGUUGACAAAAUCAAAAACAAACAAUGCACAUGCGUGAAAUUAAAUAUGUAAAAUGGUGACAAUAUAUCCAUCGCACCCUGAAUAUAUAUAUAUAUAUAUAUAUAUAUAUAUAUAUAUAUAUAUAUAUAUUCAUAUUCUGUUUUAUUGUGCUGUCAAUCACGUCUUUCCAUUUCUGCACCUACAUAUAUUAUGUUUCUGCUGCAACUCAGUGUACACUGCAAAAUUUUGCAUCUUGCUGUGCAUUUUGGUGUUAAUCGCCACUUCUUCAGGGCGCUAUUAAAUGCAUUCUUCUCUACUGACAACAUUUAGUCUCUAUAAAGACAUAUGGAUUUACUGAUGUGAAAAUCUACUGAGGAUAGUAAAAUAAACUAACUGGAGUUUUACUAUGCUCACAGCAUCUAACCAACAUUAUUAAUUGGUAAAAGUGAAUGCAGUACCCACAAGGAUUAUAUAUUCCUGCUAACCUAAUUUGGAAAUUUACCUUUAUAUCAUCAGUAAGAUAUAAAUCCAAAAAAGAAGCACACCCCAAGUUAUAGAGCAGUAUAUAAUAUAAAUAAAGUUAGAUAAGGCCUGUUUAUGGGAAUACUCUGGGUUGCCUCGCUAGAGAGGCUUUAACCCUUUUGUUAUCAACCCAGCUGAAACCAGCUCUGGCUCUGAGUACAAAUGUCUUGUUUUCAUGAGUUUUGAAUUAAAAUCUUCCUUCAAACCUUAGUCACAAUUUAUGUUCCUAACACUAGCUUAAUGAUAACUAAGUUAUUUUACUAAAUUCUUUGUUAUAUUUAAAGUAAUUGAAAGAGACACAGAGCAUCUCAAAAUAAAUACAGUAACGAAAGGGUUAAGCACUUUAUGGACGUGAAACCCAGAGUAAUACCAUAAACCAGCCUUAUCUAAAUUAAUUUACAUUAUAUAUAUAUAUAUAUAUAUAAUGUAUUAGCUUGAUUAAACCAAAUCAUCUAUUUCUAUCUCAAAAUAUUACACUGGGUGUAUUCAUGAGCUGUAAGCCUCCAAUGAAUUUUGCUAAGGUUGAUGUCUUUCAUCAUUGCACUAUGGAAAAAUAAGUACCUUUGAAGUAUUUAGGUCAAUUCAGUUGUCUAUGCUCCUCUCCAAAAUGUGUCACCUUCUGUCAAAGUUAAAAAUCAAUACUAUUAUUAGCAUUAGUACUUAGUCACACUUUCUUUUUAUAGAUUUGUCAAGAGAGAAGAGCUAGUGUUUAUGACCUUUGCAGGUUCUUUCCGCAUUUGCAUGGUUGAUAUCCAGCCUGAAUAUCUGUAGGACAGUGUCUGCAGGAAGGACAUGGGCAGAAGAGAACAUGGUUAUGUGAGCCAAGUUUCAAUGUUUUGCAGAAGAGGGAACACAACCACAAGUACCCUAGGACUAAUUAGUGGUAGUAGUUGUUUGGGGUCAGGUCAGCCCUUGAUUGAGCAAACCUAUAAUCAAAGGUAUUCCAAUUGUAUCCAUCCUGUCUUUUUUAUUUUUGAUGUAGUGAAGACAGUGGGGGUGUGAAUUGGCUGCUAUUUCUAACUAACUUCUCCAAAUGUUGGUUUUAGGUACUUGGUUUCACUUACAUUAUAAACCUGCCAAUCCUUCCUCCUGUAGAUGUUAAUCUCCACUUUUUCUCAGUACUUUUUUUUUAUCUCUCUCAAAAUAUAGAAAAUUCAAUCAGUCAAACCUUGUAGACUUAAAAGGUGUUGAACUCCUCCAAAUCCACUGUAAGCAUUUUUUGUUUUGUUUCUUGGCAGUACAUUUCAUUCUGUGGCUACUUCAGUUUGCCUGGUUGCCAGAUAUAUUUUCCUUUAAUUUGUUUCAGUCUUUGGACUGUGGCUAUGCUGGGACACUGCCCUGAAGACUUAGUUGAACAAAUUGACUCCAGGGUUUUUUUUUUUAAUUUGUUACUUAUGCUAUCAGUAUUUUAUUCUGAAGCAUUAUGUUUUGGUGAUGUAAACAAACCAACACCAGUUGUCAAGUGUUGGUGGCAACAAACAUAAAGAUGCAUGUGUACACACACACACGUGUAUAUACAAUGGGCUUCUUCCAGUUUCUGUUUACCAGAUCCACUCACAAGACUUUGGUCAGCUGAGGACUAUAGUAGAAGACACUUGUUCAAGGUGCCAUGUAGUGGAACUGAACCUGGAACCAUGUAGGCACCAAAUCUAAAGGAAUGAUUUAUCUCUAAGGCUAAGCCCAUGUCACUGUUGCCUUCGUUAGGUCUUUGGAGACAUUUCUAAUUUAUUAAUAAAUAAAUAAAAGCAGUGCAGAAAUAUUUCAAUGUCCCUGGCGGCAUAUGGAACUGUUGAGGAGCUAUGAAAUAAUUUCAGUGCUGAUGGAUGCCAAAGUUGUAAUUUGAUACUUAUUUUUAGUGAAUUCUACAAAUGUAAUUAAAUAAUUAAAUUAAUUAAAACAGCAAAGAUAUAAAUAAAGAAUUAAAUAUGUUACUUCCUCUCUUUUUGUGUUUGUUUCUCUUCUUUUUCAGUUUCUUACGUCUUAUGACUUUCUUUCUUUCUGUCUUCUUAUCUCCCUCUCUUUCUGUUUGUGUUUAACAACAUGAAGUUUCAACUACCAACUUGGGAUUGCAUCAACUCCAGCAUAUUACAGCUUGUUUCAUUCCACAUCAAAGCUAUGAGCUAAAGCAUUUCAACCACGAUAAUACCAUAUUAUUUUCAGAUGUAGUGCAUCAAGAUCUACAUUAUGCGACGUGUCCUUCUUUUAAGAGGAGAAAUAUUUGGUUGAUAUUUCUAGCAGGUUAAGUGAGGAUUUUUUGCUGGUUAUGUCUAUGUGAUUUACUGGUUGUUGCUGUUAACUAUCCCUCUGUCAGCCUUGUUCGAACAUUCUGGCUAUGACAAUCAUGUCUUUUUUGUGUGUUCAGCAUUACUUUAUCUAAUGUGUCUCAUCAUCAUUAUCAUCAUUUAAUGUCCGCCUUCCAUGCUAGCAUAGAUUUUUUCCAAAAUUAUCAAGUGUUACUUGAAGGAUAUUUAUUUGUUAUUUCUAGUAGGUUGAGUGACUGCUUUAGACUUAUAUUGAUAUAUUGACUUAUACUCGGAUAUUGAUGUUGACUAUUGACUUAUUCAUUUAUAUUGAUAUAUUGGUGUUAACUGAUUGAAAUCUCAUAUUAUAAUGAUUAUGACUGAGAUUUCUUAAUUUGAAUACUUUAUAGUAUAGCCUAUCCAAGGUAAAUUGCUAUUAAAAUGGUUAACCAUCUUUUCUAAUGCUCCCUCCCCCAGAUCUCCCAAGUAAUAUUUUGGUAUAUCACUUGUAUGAGAAAAUCUGAUGUAACCAACUUUCUUAGAAUUGCAUAUUUUGAGAGCUAUAUCUUUGCCCAUGUUUUCUUUUCAUCUAACCUGCAGUAUUAGCUUUAAUCUCACCUAUUUGUCUUAUUCUUAGUCUCUAAAAAGGCACUAAAAGCAUUACUUUUUUUGAUAAGACUAACUAAAAAUUGAUUAAAUAAAUAACUAUGGCUUCAGUUGGAAAGUUCAAUCUUGCAUUCAGUGUAUCUUUCAUUUUUCAAGUUAGUUUAACAUCUUUUUUCCAAACUGGUAUAGGUUUGGACAGGUUCACUCCAUCAAAGCACUUUGCCUCUCGUUGCAGUUCUUUUAAAAAUAAAUAUCUCUUACCUGAUAAGAUUAGAUGUCCUAAAUUCUUAAGAACCACUUGACAGGUUUUGUAAGGGAUAUGAAAGGAUAUGCUUAAGAUUGUGGCACCCUUUUUAUUGCAUGAGAUGAAGCAAAUAUGAAUUAUAAAAUUAAGCAAUUAGUAUAAGGGAUAGAUAUUACUGGUACUUAGUUUAACAAAUUUUAUAGAAUCAAAAAUAAAUUCAACUUCAGUAGGAUUUGAAUUCAGAGCUUAGAAGAAUGAAGCUCACUAUUGUACUUCUCUUUCCAUCGUAUAUUCACCCUUAUUAUUCUACUCAUCAUCAUCACCAUCAUCAUUUAACAUUUUCCAUACUGACAUGGGUUGGAUAGCUUGGCAAGGCCAGCCCUGCACCAGGUUCCAUAGUCUGUUUUGGUUUGGUUUUGGGUGCCCUUCCUAAUACCAACCACUUCACAGUGUAAGGAGUGCUUUUUACGUAGCACUUUCAUUGCUUUUUAUGUGACACUAUCACCAGUGCUUUUCACGUAGCACCAAUUGAUAGUGAUAUUUAAUAAUCUAUAGUUAUCUGUUUCUAAUAUUAUUUAAUAGAAUUCAAAACCAUGUGAUAUUUAUCUGUAGACUAAUUUCAUCUCUUCUUUAUAAAGAAAUAUGAAAUGCUUUUAUUAAACUACUGCUUUUUAUCAAUACAUGUAUUAUGAGAUAUGAAUUUCUAACAUCAAUUAUGCAACCAACCUUCAGUAUUCAUUUUUCUAGCAAUAGGCAUCAUGUUCAGAUCAUAUUCAAAGAAUAUGGGUUAUAACAAUGAUUAACUAGAAGUAGCACAUUUAAUCUAUGAAUAUUCACAAGUAACCUGUACAAAGUUGUACAGUAAUUGCAUGUUUAAAGAAUACUAGAUUAGCUUAACUUGGAAAGUCUUUAUUUAUUUAAAAAGUGAAGUAUGAUGCAUUACAGGUAAUGUACCGUAUGGUAGGGAAAUCUGGGUUUUUGGUGUUGUUUGUUUGCAAUCUCUGGAGAUGAAUUAUGAAUACUAGUCACUAAAACUGUAAUAUGAGUCUACAAAGAGAUAAGUUAUACUUAAAAUGAGCCAAGAAAAACAACCGGGAACUAAAGGCAUCAAAUGUUUCUGGCAAGAGACAGAAAAAUUGAAGUGAGGAGAUUUUUACUUCAUGAUAACAUUGAUAUUAUCAGGGAUUAUUUUUCAUAUUUAGUUGUUUUAAACUGAUUUCUCUGUAUGCUUUGAAAAUAUUUUUACAAAAUUACCAUGAAGUUUGAUUUAUGUCAUUUCUGUAUAGAAAUAACUUAUUUGGAUUAAAGUUUUAUUCUCUUCAUAUUAUCCUUAUUUUUGGCUAAAAGCCAAUUGAAAAUUGCAAGUGUUUCUUUUUCUGAUCACUUCUGUAUUCAUCUGUAAUUUUGACUGAUGUUCAUAACACUUUUGUAUUUUUAAGUGAAGUCCACUAACUUGAUUCUGUUGCUAUUCUCUUGGUUCCUCAUACAAAGUAAAAAUAUUCAACUACACAUGCCAUAUGUUUUCUAAUGUUGCUUUUUCAAAGAAAUUCUUGUAUAUUUGUUUGGCAGAACUGGCUUUUUGCCUAGUCUUAAGACGUCAUUGUUGUAGUUAAAGGUUUAAAUAUUUUGUUGUUUACAUAUUUAUUUUAGGGCAAUUGGAUGCACACAUAGCCAUAUGGUGGGGAAGUUUACUUGAGAUGACAUGAUUUCAAAUUCAGUAUUAUUGCAUGAUUGGUUUAGAAGUUUGCAACCAUUGUCUCAGGUUUGAUUUCAUUAUGUGGUUCUUCAACUAAGUGUCUUUUAUAAUAGCCUUGGGUCAACUCAAACCUUGGAAGUAAAAUUUGUUAUGUUGUGCAGAAUCCUGUCAAAUGGCCUAGUUCCUUUACUCAGGAGAUAUUUAACUUAUUGCUUGGUUUUAACACCACUGUCUGGCUUUGUGAGUAUUGUUGUGGAAUUCGCUUUGUUGCAAGCAUCUGAACCAGGUCUCCAGUCUGAGGAUAACCAAUGAGUCAUAGUUUCCUACUCUGACUAAGCCAUUAAAAAAAUGUUACUGUUGUUGAAUUCUGUUUCUUGUCAACCGCUCAGUCACGCGAGGCUUGUUUCCAUCAGGCCAAUACAGUAACCUUUUUGUUACCAUAUUUCUAUUGAAGUAUACAGUCUUUGUUUCAAUUAAUUUUGAAAAUAAUGAAGUAUUUUGUAAAACAAUUUUCAUUAUCAAGCUAGUGUUUAGAACAUAAAUUAACAUGAAAUUUUGAGAGGUUUAAUUUAGAACAUAUGUUGGUUUUGUUUUUAUAAUCAAUUUGCAAGAUUCUUGAUAUAAACUUGUGAGUUGAAAUAGAUUUUGACAUAUCUCAAGAGGGUCACUGUGCCAAUAAUAAACACACAGUGUUUAAUUUCACUUCUUUAUCAUUCAUUAGUUGGUUAACUAUUUAACCAAUCAACCAAUUGAAUGAUUAAUCAUUUGGUUAAUCAGUCAGUCAGUUGUUUUUGCCAGAGUCCGUUUAUUGCCAUUUGUGACCACUUUAAUGAUAUGCCCUCUCUACUCCAGGUCAGCUUUAAACCUGAAGCCGUAAUUAGAGAUGCCACACUAUUAUUAUAGCAAGAAGAAUUUGAGCUCUUGACCAUGAAAUAGAAAAUCAAACUCAUAACCCUUUCAUUUAUAUGGGAAUUUACUGACUGUAUUUUUUCUUUUCUCUAAACAGGACAUAAUAACAACCAGUAUCAUCAUCAUCAUUAUCAUAAUUUUUUUUUACAUUUGUGAUUCCAUUGUGGCAUAGGUCAGAUAGAUUGUCAUAGUCUGCCCCAGCUUAUGCAAACAACAACUUAGAAAACUAUUCGGAUUUGGUGUUGUGUGUAUGUGUUAGUGUGGACUUAAUAUUUCAUCAAGCUACCAAUACUAGAGUGAUUGUCUCAUAUGAGGAGGACUAAAGGGUUCCAUAUUCCCUGUAGCUGUUCUUGUUGAAAAUUACAGUCCUCCUGGACAGGUAUCCUAAAAUGCAACUUUCAGAGCUUAUGUCCUGCUCAUACAUUCCAUUUUGAUGUCUUCUGUGGUUAGAUGCACUUCCUAUGAACAACCACUUUUCACAGUGUACUUGGUGCAUAUUUUGGUUCCAAAGAUUGUCUCAUGCUAAGAGAACUUAUCUCCUUGGCUAUGGAAAAGUUUAUGUUCAGAGUCACUGCUCUCUCAGAUAGGUAGCCUGUAAUGUGGCUUGUGUGGUCCAUAUCAAUAUAGAAGGAGAAGGCUUUAGCUACUGAAUUGUGUGUGAGUGUGUGUGUGUGGUAGGAACAUGAUGUGAUCUGAAGUUCUUUGCUUAAAAGUUGUCUCUGUUAUGUGGUGAAAGGUAGGGAGGAAGAGGUUACAAAAGUGUCAUGGCUGGAAGUAAGUCUAUAGUGCUACAUAGAGGAACUUAUCAAGAAGUUGAAGUAAAGUUGUCACACUUAGUUAAGAAAGGCAUUUGAAGAGUACCAUCCCAUAUACUGUUCUGACACUGUAUCACAAAACAUUCUACUAUGUUUCAAAAUAAAUGAUAUACAUAUAUGUUAUGGUAUAUGAAUGUGUUAUAAAAAUAGCAUUGCUUGUCUCAUCCUUAUUUUUCAUCUUUAACCCCCCCUCCCCCCAAAAAACCCAUUCUUUUAAAUUCAUUCCAUCAGGAAUUUUCAUCCAUUUUCUUUCAGCUGUAAAAGCCAAGCAAAGCAACAUAUAAGCUGCUUUAGCUGUGAGACCAUAUUAAAAGUGAGACAUUUAUGAGAAGCUCAAUAUACCAUUCCGUACUGUGUUGAAACUAAAAUAAUUUGUAAUACAAAGUAUUCUAACAUUGUAGUUUGAUUCUAAAGAUAAAUUGGAAAACAAACAAACAAACAAGCAAAAAAAUCUAAUGGAAAGUAAUUUACUCAGAUGUGGAAAUAUGUUGAAAACAAUACAAUUUUUGUUAGCAUAUAGUAAGCAUAAAAAAAAUCUAAUCAAAAUUAUGCUGUGAGGAAAAGAUGACAUUUUGGUAGUUACAGAAGAUAACUUUGGAUAUGCUUCAUUGUUAUUAGACCUCCUCAAUGGAUCAUGAACUUAUCUACUUCAGUGGUUCUCAAACUGGGGUCCAUGGUCCCCUAGGUGACUGUGAAGUGAUUUUUGGGGGCCAUGAAGGGAUGCUGAAGUAUUGUGAAAAUGGAGUGGCUUGAGACAGUUAAAUUUUAAAAUUUCAAGACUUUGGAUUUUUCACUUGCUAUCAUCCUUUUUUGUCGUUGGCCUCAAAAACUCACAUCACUUCUACUCACUCAUUUGCUAAUCACACUUGUACAACAAGUGUGAUUGGCUGAUAAAAAAUAUGCAGGUAUAACAGUUGAUCAUGCAUGUGUAUUUUUCGUUUUCAUCUGUUUUGUAACCAUUUGAUCAACUGAUUCCCCAUAUUUUCAUGUGUAUUUAUUGUUUACCCGGAUUAAGUUGUGGUUUUUGGGGUUGUGGAUCUAUGGAUAGUACCGUUCAUAGUCUUGAAAUUACAGUUAUCAAAUGUCAUUUUUUUUACCAUGUUGAUUACCCUGCAUUUUAUAGGGGACUACAAAUCAGCCAAAAAACUUUGUAAAGUUUGAGAACCACUGAUCUACUUGCUGAAGCUGUGAGAGAGAAUCACUAAGUAAUGCAUCAUAUUGUACAUGAGUAGCGGGUAUGUGUGGAAAAUUAGCAUUAUUUUAAAAUAAUAAACCACAUCAUCAUCAUCAUCGUUUAACAUCUGCUUUCCAUGCUGUCAUGGGUUGGACAGUUUGACUGAGGACUGACAAACCAGGAGGCUGCACCAGGCUUCAAUCUGAUAAUUAUUAACUUUCAACUUUCCAUUUUCUUUUCUUCUAUCAAUUGAAUACGGAUUAUAUGCCUAUUAUAUCUAUUGAUUGAGGGAAAUUUUAAUUCCCCAAAAUCCCCUUAAGAGGUUAAUAUAUCUCUAAUAUAUAUAUAUUGAGUUGGCAAGAAAGUAAAUUCGUUUUUUGCAAAUAGUUACAAUUUUUUUGAAUGACUUUUGUCAGUGUUAUGAUUUUUUCCUUCUUACAUUUGAUAGCCGUUAUUUUUAGCUUGCUUUAGAAGCAAAUUGCAUGUAGUUUUGUUUACAGCUGAUAGUUUAAAUCAAUUUUAACAUGGAGUGUAUAAACGAACAUUUUCACCAUAUUUUGCUUUUUUAUUUCCGUAAAGGCAAGAAAGUUGCUGAGGCUCACAAAGAGAUAUGUGAAAUUUAUGAUGUUGAUUGCUUAACAGAAUGCACAUGUCAGAAAUGGUUUACAAAAUUAUGCUCUGGAGAUUUUUUACUCAAAGAUGACCAACGUUCUGGUCAACCUACUGAAGUUAAUGACCAAAUCAAAGCCAUAAUUGAAACUGAUGGUCAUAUAACUGUGCAAGAGAAUGCAGAGAGGUUAAAUAUACAACACACAACAAUUAAAAAUCACUUAAAAUGUCUUGAACUCAUUAAGAAGCUUGAUAUUCAGGUUCCCCAUAAAUUGAAAGAGAUUUACUUAACACACUAAAUCAGUAUUUGCAAUAUGCAUCUCAAAUGCAAUGAAAUCGACCAUUUCUUGAAACAAAUUAUUACUGGUGAUGAAAAGUGGAUUGUCUACAAUAACAUCAAUCAAAAAUGAUCAUGGUCCAAGUGCAAUGAACCACCACAAACCACAUUGAAAGCAGAAUUGCAACAAAAAAAAAAAAGAUCAUGCUGGCAAUUUGGUGGGAUUACAAAGGUGUCUCUAUUUUAAGCUGCUUCCAAAGAACCAAACAAUCAGUUCAGAUGUUUACUGUCAACAACUAAUGAAACUGGAGGAAGUAAUCAAAGAAAAACUGCCAAAACUGGCAAAUCGUAAUGGAAUUGUGUUUCACCGUGACAAUGUUAGACCACACAUGUCUUUGCUAACUCAUGAAAAGUUAUUAGAGCUUGAUUAGGAAGUGAUGCCACAUCCACCAUAUAGCCCUGACCUUGCAUCAUGAGAUUACUAUUCAUUUUGAAGUUUGCAAGAUUCUCUGAAUGGUAAAACUUUCAAUAAUGAUGAUGAUCUGAAAUUACACUUGCUUCAGUUUUUGGCUGAUAAGGACCAGAAGUUCUAUGAGCAGGGAAUCAUGAAGUUGCCAGAAAGAUGGCAAAAGGUCAUUGAACAAAAUGGAAAAUAUAUAAUUGAUUAAUGUUCAUUCUUUGUAUGAAAAAAAAUGACUUUUAUUUCACACUAAAAAACUGAAAUUACUUUCUUGCCAAACCAUUAUAUAUAUAUAUAUAUAUAUAUAUACACACACGCACACACACAUGUAUUUAUGUAUAUAUGUAUAGGGCGUCUAGCUGUACAAACUAUGCAAAACAGGCAUGGAUCCUGGGUAGCUCUCCAGCUGACCAGCUCAUGUCAAACCGUCUAACCCAUGCCAGCAUGGAAAAUGGAUGUUAAAUGAUGAUGAUUAUAUACAUACAUACAUACUUGCGAUAUAAAUUAAUGGUAAAAUAUCUCUUUACCUUCACCCAUUUAAUAUACUAGGUAAUGUAAUUGCAAUGCAAUUAAAAAGACUUGUGUAUUAAUAAUUGGGUAUUCUACCAGCAGUAUAUUGGAUAGAUGUUAUCCCUUAGUGGUUUGGAUUCACAAUCCCUAACUUUCUUGGAAUAUAUAUAUAUAUAUAUAUAUAUAUAUAUAUAUAUAUAUAUAUAUAUAUAUAUUUGCAUUGUGUCUAUUUAUGUGCUGUAACUUACUGGUUUUGGUAUGACUGAUUAAAACCCUCAAAGACAGUUACUCAGUAAGACCAUAGACCAAUAAUGCAAACCAGUAAAAGAAUUUAAUACCUUAAAUUUAAAAGUGCUUGUAGAAACUUUUAUGGAAAAAUCUUAAUAUCUGUGAUUAAAAGAGAAAACAUUUGCAUUAGUCCUAAAAACAUAAGAUUUAUUUAAAGCAAUUUUAAGAUUUUAUAGUAGCUUGAUGACUAUGCUGGUUAGUUGAGCAUCGUAGAUGUUCAGAACAAUACAAGAAUUUAAUUUUUCAACAAUAAGUUUUAUUCUUUGUUAAAACAUUUAAAUUGCUUUCACUAAGCACAGUCACCAUAGAAUAUUUUGUCCCAUGCUAGAUGUGCUUUUUGUAGAACCUCUAAUGAAUUAUAUGCUCUUUUUUAGGGUCAUAUGAUGGCCAAUGUGACCAAAUUUUUCUUGCUCCUGUUUUUGGAGUUACUUGCUUCAUUAAGGCAUUUAAUUAACAGUUCUAUCAUCAUUCCUGUAUCUACUACAUUUUCAUUUGAUUUUUGCAUUUUGGCAUAUGUAAACAUUGACCAGUAUAGCAAUAAAAUAAAUAUUACAUACACUUAUAUCCUGGCAAAAGGAGUAAGCUAUAUUAGCAGAAAAUUUUGUGCCAGCUAUGGAAGCUAAGAACUAACUUUGGCAUUAAACAAUAUUUUUGUUUUCUGUCUCUGGAAAUCUUCCAUAGUUUUUUUAUAUACUUAUCUCUGAAUACUUUUCAGAAAUAAGAAACCGGGUGGGGAAGAAUGACUUGUUUGGCAUUUUCUACAGUGAAAUUUGCUCUAAUGGUGGCCAAAUUAGUUUGGAAGACAUGUUCUAGUGGGCAAUCAGUUCAUGGAGAAAUUGGAUAAUUUAGAAUUGUGGACCUAAUGAUCAUAAAGUUUAUAUUGACAUAGAAUUAAAUAAUAUAAGAGAAGUAUUUGAAAGAUUGCUCAGUUGCCUAGUCUGGCUUAUAUCAGAUUUUUUUUUUUUAAAAAACAAAAGAAUUAUCUCUAUUUUGGAAGUAAGAGUAAGCUAAUGUUUCUAUAUAAAUCUUCAAUAAAAUAUGCAGCUACUGUAAUUGAAACUUUUCAGUACUUUCCAUUGUUUUUAGUAUAGUAUUUCGUUCAAAAGUAAAUUUAUUUACAUUCUUGUUCCUAAAGCAAUAGCAUCAAACUAUAAUAACUACUAAAUUGUGUCAUGGACUAAGGUUACUGAUCAAAUAUUAUUGGAAUCAGGUAAAGGUAAGUUCUCAGUGGGAUAAUUCUACCAGUUGAUUGUAGCUAUUUCAAAUCAUGUCUCUGAGGUUAUAAUGAAUAUAUUGUAAUCUCAAUUUUCCAUUAUCCUAUAAAUCUGUUGUCUUUUGCCUCCAUAAGAAAUCAUUAAUAGUCAUAGAAUAAUGGCACUAAAAUACCCCCCUUUAUUUUUACUCUGCUCAGAGCCAUUUAAUUAAUUUUCUGAUUGUUACUGGAAGAGGCAUAUGAACAAUUAUCACCUCCAAAAUAACUGAUAUUCGCCACUAAAAAUAGUCACUCGAUUGGAUAGAAAUAGUAGUCAAAUCAGCAUCGUAUCAUGUUCUACCAUCUUAAAAAAUGGACUUAUUAGAAUAAUAUAUUCUUAGAUAUAUAUUGUCUGAAAUAAAGAUGGAAUAGUUGUGACUGGUACACCUUUGAUUAUAGGUCUGCUGUAUCACAGUUGACCUGGAGCCUAACAACAAAAGCAAUAACAACUAGCAAACUUGAUUAUUACUAUCUAUUGUAGUUUUGCAAUAGAACUGGCCUUCCGAGUACAGAAAAAUCUGUUCUACCAAGAAUAUCUGCUUAAGAUGACAAAAGUGCUUGAACAGUAUACAUCAAUGUGUGCUCCAUGUGGUUGUUUGCUCUGUUAGAAAUGGUAAUAAAAUCCAUCAUAUCAUGCCCUACCAUUUUGAUAAAGAAAAAGGAAGGAGAAACAUUAAAGAAUAUUUCUUAGAUAUAGUGUGGCAGUGAUUCGUAAUCAGAUUAUCACAACACCCAGUGAUGUCAUGGACAGCAAUCAACAGUAUUGUGAGAUUUUAAAUUUAUUUAGCAAAAUUGACAAAUAAUAUCUGUAACGUGUCUUGCUGAGGGAGAUGAGAUUAGAGAAACAUUGGAAAUUAAGAACAAGACAGGAUGGUCAUGGUAGAGACAUCUUUGAUCAUAAGUCUGCUUAGCCAAUUAAACAGCAAUAACAAUAACUACCAUAUUUAUUUAUAUAAAUUGUGGCACCAUUACUUUAGUGGCUUUAGACUUGUAGCAUAUUUUAUAUUCAGUAAAGAUUUUUCUUUUUCAAUUAACAAACAUAGAACUCUAGAAAGAAGAUAACCAAAACAGUUAUAACUAAUUGAAGUAGAUGGUCAGUAAAGUAGAAGCAGAUUAAUAGCUUUUAGGAAUUAUACUUUUGGUUUCCAGCUGUAUAAUGCCUUAGGAGUAUUUAAAAAUGUUGUGUAUCAAGAUAUUAAAUAUUAUAUAAAAUUGAAUUUCAAAAUAGAUUUUAACAAGAUCACCGGAGUAAUGUUCAAGAAAGUCUUCAAAAAACUUUCUCUUGACAUGAGGAAUAAAGAAUUCUUUAAAGAUGUUAUUAAUGGGCUUUUUUAAUACCAUAAUUGGUAUAUAUGACAUUCAAAUAAUUUCAUUUUGUAAACAUUCUAUUACAUCUGACUGUACAAUAAAGUUCUCCAUACUGCCAAAUCUGAAAACCUUUUUGAUCUCUUAUUAAUCUCAAAUGGUGUAUUCAGGAGCUCUCUUUUAUUCUCAAUGAACUCUUAAGUCUUUCUCUACAUAGAUCAAUCUUUCUCUAUGUGUUUCUAUCAAUAGAAACCUGUAAUAUUUCCAUACACAGAUCUAUGUUUGUGUCCCAUUUCCAAGAAUCACCAGUUCUAUGAUCCCCCCCUCUCCAAUCUUAUUUUUAACUCUCAAAGAUUGUGGGAACAGUUAACAAUCACCUACUUUGUUGCUUUAAGUAUCUCUUUUCUCAUUGGUACCAUUUGGUACAAUUUCAGUGUAGCUUAGCCUUUCUUAAUCUUUCAUGCGAGUGGUCUUUUACCUUUGAAAACUUGUGUGAAAGAAAUGUUACUGCACUUGACAUUUGUAAAACUUUUAACCAUAGGUGGUAUGAGAACUUCCUAGCUAAGUUGGUCUUCUAUGUGGCAGCAUGCAGUGAUGAUAAGGCUCUUUCCAGGCCAGAUCCUAUCAACUCUGAUGUAGACCAAAGGUUUCAUUCUCUAUACAUAUAUAUUAGCCCUUUACUCACUUAAUGUUACUUCUAAACAUAAAGCACUCCUAUAAAAAUGAUACUAUCCUUCUGGUUAUUUGACAAAGACUCACUGACCAGCACAUUAUAUCCACCAGCUCACAGACAGUUUUCUGUCUAUCUCUUACAAUAGCCUCUGUUCUGAGUUUUAACUGAAAUUUCCCUCUUUGUCUGUUUUUCUUACCAGUCACCCAUCUUUACUAGUUUGAACUGAACACUAAUUGUGUUAGCUUUACUUUUUCAUAAAAAAAGAAAAAAAAUGUUAUAUUAUUUUGGUAUUCAUUGAAUUUUUUCCCAGUAAAAAUAAUACUAGUUUUUUCCAUUUAUAUUCAUAAAUAUAAAAAUAAUUUUCCAAUCCAUGCCAACAUGGAAAACGGAUGUUAAAUGGUGAUGAUGAUGAAUUUCAAUGUAGCUUCUAUUUAUUUAGGUUUUUAUUAUAAUUAAAUAAAUAAAAAAUAGGGCUACAUAUUUAACACUUGUUGAAAUUUUAAAAAUUAUUGGAACACAAACUAACAGCUUUGUUACUUAAUAUGUGCAGCAUUUCUUAAAAAAAAAAAAAAAAUGAAUGAAAAUUGUUCUCAUCAAAUUUGUCACUUUAUUCUAAUAUAAAAUGCUUAAAUUUUUAAUCACUGCUAUUUCUGUUUGUGUUGUUGUUUUUUUUAGUCCUAAUAAGUAGGAAGGUGGACCAACCACAAACGACUUCAGGUAGAUGGCCCUGCUCGAUCUGUAAAAAAGGUGUAGGUAGAAACUCUAUAAGGUGCACCAAGUGUAAGCUAUGGACACAUAAGAGGUGCAGCAAUGUCAAAGGUAGGCUAACUGGGAAGAUAGUUUUCGUAUGUGGCAGAUGCUCAGGAGAAAUAAACACUCGAAAUGUGCAGAGACCAACUUCUACCACGUUCCAGGGAGACAAACUAGAAGUAGUUGAUAGCUUCCGCUACCUAGGAGACCAAGUCAGUAGCGGGGGUGGGUGUGCUGAAAGUGUAACUGCUAGAGUAAGAAUAGCCUGGGCAAAGUUUAGAGAGCUCUUACCCCUGCUGGUGACAAAAGGCCUCUCGCUCAGAGUAAAAGGCAGACUGUAUGAUGCAUGUGUACGUACAGCCAUGCUACAUGGUAGUGAAACAUGGGCCGUGACUGCUGAGGAUAUGUGUAAGCUCGCAAGAAAUGAAGCCAGUAUGCUCCGAUGGAUGUGUAUUGUCAGUGUUCAUAAUCGUCAGAGUGUAAGUACCUUGAGAGAAAAGUUGAACCUAAGAAGCAUCAGUUGUGGUGUGCAAGAGAGACGGCUGCGCUGGUAUGGUCAUAUGACGAGAAUGGCUGAAGAUAGUUGUGUGCAAAAGUGCUACACCCUAGCAGUUGAGGGAACCUGUGGAAGAGGAAAGGAAAACCUGGGACGAAGUGGUGAAGCACGACCUUCGAACUUUAGGUCUCACCAAGGAAAUGACUAGAGACCGAGACCUAUGGAAGUAUGCUGUGCGUGAGAAGACCCGGCAAGACUAGUCAGGCCAUAACCCGUGGCCCCUACCUGGGACGUAGUCAGUCCACCUGUGCAUACCUUCCUUCUUGUGACACUUGUGAAGACCUGUUGAGGCAAGUGAAAAUCAAAAUAGAUGAACAUCAAUGGAAUUUGUAUCUUUGGUACCAGUGCCGGUGGCACACAAGAAAACCAUCCGAACGUGGCCGUAGCCAGUACCGCAUCGACUGGCCUCCAUGCUGUGGGCACGUAACAAUCACCAUCCGAUCGUGGCCGAUCGCCAGCCUCAUCUGGCUCCUGUGUCGGUGGCACAUAAAAAACACCAUCCGAGCGUGGUCGUCUGCUAGCCUUGUCUGGCACCUGUGUCGGUGGCACAUAAAAACACCAUCCGAGCGUGGCCGUUCGCCAGCCUCGUCUGGCACCUGUGUCGGUGGCACAUAAAAACACCAUCCGAGUGUGGCCGUUCGCCAGCCUCUUCUGGCACCUGUGUCGGUGGCACAUAAAAUCACCCACUACACUCACGGAGUGGUUGGCGUUAGGAAGGGCAUCCAGCUGUAGAAACACUGCCAGAUCUGACUGGCCUGGUGCAGCCUUCGGGCUCCCCAGACCCCAGUUGAACCGUCCAACCCAUGCUAGCAUGGAAAGCGGACGUUAAAUGAUGAUGAUGAUGAAUGAUUUUAAAUAAAGAAAAUUAGAUUCGUCUCAACUUUUGUUUACUAGAUUUCAAUAUUCUUUACUUUGUUGAGGCAGCAAACUGGCAGAAUCCUUAGGAUACUGGGCAAAAUACCUAACAGCAUUUUGUCCAUCUUUAUGUUUUGAGUUUGAAUUCUGCUGGGACCAACUUUGCCUUUCAUCCUUUUGUUUAACCCCUACCCCUCAGAUUACUGACUUUUUGCCAAAAUUUUGAAACCAGUAUUCUUUAUUUUGUUGAACAGGUUAUUGUCGCAGGUAAAACAAAUUUGCUUUAACAGAUUUUUUUUAAUAGAGAAAUUAACAUAUCUGUAAAGUAAGAAAAUAUGUUAGAUUCAGAAUGUUAGCAAUUGAUGCUGAAGUUACUCAAAGGAAUUAAAUUUUACUUCUUUUUCAUUUGCUUAGUCCCUUUAAGCUAAGUGAGUAUAGGAGUUCAAACGUUAUUGUAGUCAUUUGUGCCCUUGGCCAAAGAUUGUUUUCUUUACAUCUUUUGAUUAAUACAAUCUAGUCCUGCUAGAUUCAGGCUGUUAGCAGUAGGAAGGGCAUUAACUUUAACCCUUUAGCAUUCACAUUAUUCUGUCAAAUGCAAUACUUAUUUAUUCACAUUAUUUUGAAAUAAUAUUGCAUUAUCUCAUAGCUCUGAGAUUUCCAUGAUGUGAUUGUUGACUUUUAGAAUGACACUGUCAGGUUGAUGUGAGAAGUUGCAUCCGGCUGGUUUGAACAUAAAUUAAGGUAAAAUAUUUGGGAUGAAUAUGGUCGGUUUAAAUGCUAAAAGGUUAAAUACAAUAUAUCCAAUGAAAAACACUUCACUCAUUAAGAUAUAGAGUGAAAUUUAAAGGUGGGAUUUAGUGUGGGAAGUGAUUAACCCUUUUGUUAAUCUUAUUUCUGUUGAAAUACAGUGUUUUUGUUUCCAUUAAUUUUGAAAAUAAUGAAGAAUUUAGUGAAAUAAUUUUGUCAUUAUUAAGCUGGUGUUUGGAACAAAUUAACAUAAAAUUUUAAUGGUAGGUUUUAAUUUAGAUCACUUUAAAACAAGAAGUUGGUAUCAAAAUGAUUGAACUGUAAAAAGGGAGAAAUAAUCCCUUUAACUAGGCAUGUUCUUGAUGUUUGACAUCUUGUGAUAGACAACUGAAUUUAUUGUGAUAGUAUAGCACUUAUUUUAAUAACAGGGUUCUUGUUUGGUGAGCAAGUGAUCUUUUCAGAUUAGAGACAUGGAUGCAAAAGGGUUAAGAAAUAUUGGUGUAGUUAGAGAAAUCUCCAGUAACUAAUUAUAAAAGUAAAAUGGUCAGUUUAAAGACCUUUAAGUUUAAAUCUACUCAAGGCAUUUGGUUGUACAAUAUUGGAAUUGUCAGUCAGUGACGUCUAGUGAGACUGAAAACAUACCUGUAGGUGCCACUUUGCUCACUAAGAAAGGUGAAGGGUUUUUUUCCUCCUUUAAGCACGAAAAAUUCAAUUUUGAGAGAUGUUAACAGUUGCCCCUAGUUUUUAUCUUUUUCUAGCUAAAAUGUAAAUAUCAGUUCACUGAGAAUGUUUUGUGUGCAUCAUUCAGUAUGUCACCACCUACCUGAAUUACCUAAAUACAAACCUUUGCCCCACUUUAAUUAUUUCCUUUAGCUAACCUUUUGUAAAUAAUGUAGCAGAGUUUUGAUACACUAGCUGUGUUCAUGACCAUGUAGUCAGUAGUAGGGUACCUUAACCACAUUACUUAUAUAAUGAUGGAAAAGUCAGUUUUUGUUUGUACUGUGUGUCAUAUGGAAGCUCAACUAAUAGAUAUUAUUACUGAGACAAAUAAGUUCAGUCUUUGACAAUUAUAAAAUUUUCUUUUUUAUCAGUACAUUAUAGUAUUUAGUCAUCUACUUGGGAUUAUUUCAUUUUAGUUUACCUGUCUGUUUUAGGAGAAACAAUAGAUCAUCUAUGAAUAUUAUCUGCAUUCAAUUGAGUAAUACUCUCAAUCAUGAAACCAGUACCAAGAAUUGACCUUUUCGAGCUUCUUGCUGCUAACUGAGGCAUUUAUAAUCAUUUACUUAUUGGGUUUAUAUGAUAAUCUAGUACAUAAGUGAUUAGAAUAUUCAAAGGGAUUACAAUAACAAAACCACAUGAGAGAAACUAAGCUGACCAUCGAAAGAUGGUGGUACUGUCACAAAGUUAUAGCCUUAAGUAACUAAGAGCUUUAGACAGAUGAACAUUUGGUGGCUUUAUAUGAACAUCUGUUUUCUUGAACUGUGAUAGUAUAAUUGUGCUGGUAUUCAAAUUUUAAAUUGUUUUAAUACCAUGUCGAACAUUCAGUGAUCUGAGCUGUUAUUAAAUUUUGAAUAUAUUUAAACAUAUAUCCUGUCUCACAAACUUGUGUACAGUACAAAGAUUUGUACUCUAAGCUUGUAUAUAGUACAUAUACUUUUCACUGGGCAAUCAAAUAAAGCUGACUAGUUUGCGAUGUAUAACAUUACUUUGUUGGGUGUAUUGAAGAAGUAAGAAAAGAUACUAUUGUUUUGAUUUAUUUAUCAUUCCUAAUUUUUCAGAAUGUUUCAGCUAUAUCACCACUCCUAAGCACACUUAUAUGUCAUACUAUCAAUCCUCUACUACUUAAGUAUGAUAUAUAUUCACUUAUUUAUAAGAAUCAUAUAAAAAUAACCUUUGUGGGCAUAUGAUUUAGUAUUGUGAUAUCAUACUGCAAGUUUUAUGCUCUGAAGAAGAAUCAGUUUUAGUGUAAUAGCUGGAUGUAGGUUUGUUGUAAUGUAUGUCACUUAUGUAUCAUGUAACUCUUGAUCAAAUGAGGUUGGGAAUUGGUCAGUCAUUUUUGGUGAGGAAAAUAAUUGUUUUUAAAUAUAUCAGGUGUAAAUUAUUUUCAUCUUCUCAUUUAGAAAUUAAUGUUUCUUGUUUAAGUUGUUGACAAGUUUAGUCAAUUGAAUGUAAAUUUUCUGAGAAGCAAAAUUUGCAUUUGUUGAAUAGGUAGAUGGGAUGAAGCAUGUGUAAGAGGUGUAAUACUACAUGGUAGGAAGAAAGGGACAAUGGAUUCAGAAGACUUGUGAUAGCUACAGAAAAAUGUUUUACUGGAUGCCUUGUGUCAACAUGUAUAAAGAUGAUGUGCAAAUGAUAUGAAAAAAAGAUUGGCAGUAAAGGUAUUGGGUAAUGUAUAGAAGUGUAGUUAUAAUAGUAUAGACAUAAUAUAAAUUGACAACACUUGCUAUGUAGUAACAGUAGAAGGUAGCCAUUGAUAGAGAAAGAUAUGAAGUGUGAGAUCAGCUCUUAGGACACUGUAACUCACAGAUGAGAUAAUACAGGAAGGUGGGUAGAGAUCUUUUAUACCUCAGAUCCAUUCAUCUUACACAACAUGAAGAAAUGGUCACAAUGAUGAUCUAUAAUUAAUUGGUAUAUUUUUUAGUAUCAGUUCAUUAGCCUUGUCUCUUUUAAACAAGUAAUUUGUUUUUGACCAGACGCAAAAUUUCUUUUUUAAAAUUUAUUUAAUAUUUUACUGACAUGAAGUGAAUUACUGUCUGAGUAACUGAGAAAAAAUAACAUUGCAUUUUCUUCUCUUGUCUUUUGGUCAUAUUUGCAGUGUAUUCCUUCCAUUUAACCACAAAAUAAAUAUAAUAUCCUCAUAUAGAUACAAUGCUCUCACAUCUUGAACAUAUAACCAUAACUCUCUUUACUUUCUUUUACUUGUUUCAGUCAUUUGACUGCGGCCAUGCUGGAGCCUUUAGUCGAACAAAUUGACCCUGGGACUUAUUCUAUGUAAGCCCAGUACUUAUUUUAUCAGUCUCUUUUGCUGAACUGCUAAGUGACGGGGACAUAAACACACCAGCAUCAGUUGUCAAGCAAUGCUAGGGAGAUACACAUACACACACAUAUAUACAUGUAUGUGACGGGCUUCUUUGAGUUUCCAUCUAUCAAAUCCACUCACAAGGCUUUGGUUGGCCUGAGGCUAUAGUAAUAGACACUUGCCCAAGGUGCAAUGCUGUGGGACUGAACCUGGAACCAUGUGGCUGGUAAGCAAGCUACUUACCACACAGCCUCUCCUAAACCCUUUCUAAUAUCCUAUCAUUUUAAUAAAUAUGCAUUAUGUUAAAAAUAGCUCAUUUAACAAAAUGAAAAUAGAUGAUAGUAUCAGUGGAAUGAUUUUAUUUUUAUAUUUUCCAGCUGCUGGCCACUCAACUGUGAAGUUGGAAUUAUCAGCCAAGCAAGCAUAGAGCAAGCAGGGUUUAUUUUACCUUACUCAGGGGACAAAAUACAAUGCUCAUGACCAUGUAGUCAUUAGACCAGCACCUUAAUGACAUUACAUAUAUAAUGAUGGGAAAGUCAGUUUUUAUUUGUCAUGUGUGUCAUACUAAAGCUUAACAAACAUAUAUUACUGAGAAGAAUAAAUUCAGUAUCUGUUACCAAAUGUUCUGUUUUAUCAGUGCAUGACAGAAUCUUUAUUUAAGUAUUCAGUCACCUACUUGGGAUAAUCACAUUUUAAACACCUUUAAGCAGAAAAUGAACAUAUAUAUAAACUGGAAACUAGAAUAACAAAACAUUAUUAUUACUCAUUUUACAUACUGUGUAGUCCUUGGUAGAGUUGAUGAAUAUCAACAGGAAUAUAUAAAAAAAAAGUAGUUUCCCAUGAAACCAGGCAUAAUAAUAAUUUAUCUUUAUAAAUGUGUACAAAUGUACAAAUACAUGAACUACUAUUCAACCAAACAUGCUUAAAUUAACAUAAAUAUGUGUCAUAUAUGUACUGACAUUUUAGCUUUAUUUUUAUUGAAUGGGUCAGGUAGUCUUUUUGGUACAUGUUGAUAUUUAAAAUUUUCUACUCCAUAUAUUUAUCAAUAAAAAAACUAAUAGUAAGUUACAUUUUGAAUUUUUUUUUAAUACAUAAAAACAAACUAAAACUGAAUAAACCUAUAAUCUCUUUCAUAUGAGUUGUAUUCUGUUUUUACUAAAACAUUGACCUUCAGAAAAAAAGGGAAGAACCUUAGUUUUUCCAUUAUUUUUAUCUACUUUUUCUCCUGUCAUCUGGUUAUCCAAAUGCCAUCAAGAGGAAGUAUUUUUUUGUAGUCCUUCAUUUGAACUUUAGACUUUUGGUUUGUGAUUGUCAUUUAUAAUGAGGGUUUCUGGUGAAUGGAACAUACAUAUAAAUACAAUAUAUAUACAUACAUACAUACAUACAUACAUACAUACAUAUAUAUAUAUAUAUAUAUAUAUAUAUAUAUAUAUACACACACACACACAUACAUACAUACAUAAAUACAUAUAUAUAUAUAUAUAUAUGACAGCUUUUAGAUAUUUGUUAGUUUGCCUCUGUUUUAUGAUAGAUAUAUUAGUUGUUUUGAUUUUAUGACAAGAAGCUUGCAUGAGGUUUGCAUUAGGUUUGAUAGAGUAGACCUAAUGAUCAAAUAUAUUUCAGCUGUGAUCAUCAUCUGUUUUAUUUUUUCAGUCAUUUAUGCCCAUAUUAUUCAAUAGGUCCUUGAUUUGAGGAGAUUUAGCUGUUGUUAUGCCUAGGGACCAUCUAGAAGUUCCUUUUUACCUUAAGUAUUUUCUAGUGGCUGUGUCAUGUCAACAAGAUAGACUAUACAAAUAAACAAAAAAGUGAUAAGAUAAUAGGAAGAUAUAAACAAGUUUAGUUUUUGUGUACUUUAGGAUUGAUCCUGUCUAGAAGAGUUACAAAUUGAGAAAACCUAGAAUUUGUUCUGAGAGAGUUAUGCCCUGAAAAUUAUGGAACAUUCUACAGAUCUGAGUUAUGAAUUUGUUUUGAUUUAACCAUAGUUUUACUGCCACUGAGAAUUAUGUUAAUUUGCCAAAAUAUUUAUCUCUCUGGUCCAAGAUUUUUUAUUUCUUUCACAAAACUAUUCUCAUGUUUCUUCCUGUUCAUAUAUAUUAUGAUUAAAAUAUGAAUCAACAAUGUUCAUGUUUCUUUUGCUUUUCCAGUUUCUAUUUUUGUAUUCUUAAAAAGUUGUAAUUUUCAUAUCUGUUCUAAAAUGAUUUAUAACACUGUUGCAGGGCCAUAAAUCUUUUGAGUAGAAGCAUGGUUAUUUGAAUCGGGAAGAACUUACAUUAGUGAGGAUCCUGGUAGAAUUUAAACUUGCUAUGGAGAGAGAGAAAACAUGAUAUUGAAUGCUGAGGACAUGCAUAGGCUUGAAAGAAAUGAAGCUAGUAUGAUCUGCUGGAUGUGUAAUGUCAGUGUGCAUACACAACAGAGUGUAAGUGCCCUGAGAGAAAAGUUGGGCAUAAGAAGCAUCAAAUGUGGUGUGCAAGAGAGGCGUCUGUGCUGGUAUGGCCAUGUGUUACAUAUGAUUGAAGACAGCUGUGUGAGGAAGUGCCACUCCCUAACUAUAGAAGGAACCUGUGGAAUAGGUAGAUCCAGGAAGACAUAGGCUAAGGUUGUGAAGCAUAACUGUCGAACAUUAGGCUUCACAGAGGCAAUGACACGAGACCGGGACCUUUGGAGAUUUCUUGUGAUUGAGAAGCCCUGGCAACUAAAGUGAGAUUGCAGCCACUCAUGCCUGGCCCUGUUAAGAAUACUCCUGAUGGAUAUGAUAUGCUUGAGAAGACCUGUUUAGUCAAGUAAAACCAAUAUCGUAGCUGUGACCAGUGUCACCUGACUGGCUCCUGUGCUGGUGGUACAUAAAAAGCACCUAAUACACACUCGGAGUGGUUGGCAUUAGGAAGGACAUCCAGUUGUAGAAACCUUGCCAGAUCAGAUUGGAGCCUGGUGCAGCCGCUGGCUCUCCAGACCUCGGUCAAACCGUUCAACCUAUAAAAGCAUAGAAAAUGGACGUUAAACGAUUAUGAUGAUGAUGAUGACUCAGUCCAGCACUCCCAAUGUAAAUAUUGACCCAGCAUUAAAUUAAAAUCUAUAAACUAAAAUCUACUCGGCUUAAGUGAGAUGAUAAAAUAAUGGAACAGAUAAAGAAGCUAAUGAUGAGUUAAUGAAUUCAAAUCCUUGCUAAGCAUUUCAUUGUAUCUCUGUGUUUGAUAUUUCAUUUUUGUUACUUCUGUGUACUUAGCUAUCCAAAAUGUUUUGAAAAUAUCUGGGAAAAUCUAACAGAUUAGAGUCCUGGCCAGAAAACCCGAAUUUAAAUACUAUUUCAAUAUUUCUUUUGAGGUUUAAGAUAGGGUUAACUUUCUGCAAGCAAGAUAUUGUAAGCGAAAGAAAAUAUUUUUUCUUGAUAUUUAUUAUUUACUACUAUUAACAUUGUUGGGUAACUAAAGACUAGGUUUUUGAAUUUGUUCUAUGUUCCUAAGUAAUAACAUCUGAUCAAUUUCCUUCUGGCUUUCCCUCAUCUGUAAUUCAAAUUUUAAAAAAAUGAAUUAAGAGAAAUAACUCAAGAGGGUCAAUAGUAUGAAUUUAGAUUAUUCAGGUAGGUUGUGAUGUACAAACUAACAUACAUAAAAAACACAUAGUUAAAUGGAAAGCAAUGCCCUCAUUGCAUCGUUGUCAAUUUUAUGUCUGCUUUUCCAUGAUGGGAUGGUUUAGAUGAGACUUUUAGUAGCAGUGUUUUACUGUCAAUCCUUUUAGACGUAUCAUUAGGAACACACAGGGAUACACUGUGCCUAUUCUAAAAUCUGGGGUAUACACACAUGAUAAGAGAGAUUAUAUCAAGAAAUUAAAAAAUACUGUUACAGAAAACUGAAUUUCCAAGUUCUAAUCUUUGUUGGCAGGUAAGGUGACAACUGUAGUUAUGAUUUAGUUUCAUUUGACCUCAGAUAAUUUUUAAAUUUUUGUAUGUUUUUAGUAGACCUUAUAAAAAAUCUGCUCCCUAAUUAGAGCAGAGAAAUGCUAUGCUCUUCUGAUGAAGUUUAAUAAGGCGGAAACAAAUCUAUAACUGUCACCUUUGCUUAGAUUUUUUUCCAAAUUAUGAAAUUCAAUUUCUUGUAAAGUGAAUUAUUAAUUAAAAUUAUUUCCCCCAUUUCUUUUUGCUUACAAUUACCACCAGGUCUCUUAUUUGUUUUCUUUCUCCUACUUUGAGGCAAAAUUUUCACUCAUUAAGAAAUUUUUUCAUACAUUGUUUUCACUAUGUAUCUGAACAAACCGUAGUUAGUCUGAGAUCACCAUUCUCUUUACUGGUAUGGGUUGGAUGCUGGCAAGCCUGAGGAUUGUGCCGAACUCCUGUCGUCUGCUUUCACAUGGUUUCUAUGAUUAGAUGCCCUUCUUGGUGAGAGAUAGAUAUAAAUCAGUUGUGUUCUUUUUUCUUUGUCAGUUGUCAACCAUUUUUGAAAUAGUUGUUUUUUAUUAUCUGAUAGACUUUGUCUACCUGAAACGUCACUGUUUUCAUAGACUGUAAGCUUUACUGGAGAUAUUUGACUUUUCAUUUAAUUCUGUUGCUACUGUCAUGACAAUGCUUCAUGGAAUUUCCCCCCUUAGUCCCACCAUGCAGCUGUUCUUUGAAUGUUUAUUAACAGAUGCACAAAUUCCACACCUACACUAUAUUGACAGAUCUACAUUUCAGAGUCCUUGAAAACAAAUCAUUUAAUAAACAUACCAAUUAACUAUAUAAGUGACUAUUCUUUGGAUGAUAUUUUAUUUAUAUAAAAAAAAUCAAUACAAAAGACUAGUGAUACUCUGUAUAUGUCUUUGCUUAAGUUCUGUACUAUUUAUAAACUGGCAAAAUAUUGUUGUAAUAGAUAUAGCUGUUGUUAGCCAUUAUCAAGUAGAUCUGUGAUCAAAAGUGUUCCAGCUGUGACCAUCACCUCUCUCUUUCCUUCUCUCUCUCUCUCUCUCUCUCCAUAAUUGUAUUGAGGACUAAAUUAUGCAAGUUAUCUUUCAGUUAUAUAAAACAUUAGCGUGUGAUUUGAGGUAGACUUGACUGAUAUUUGUAGUAGAUUAGUAACCACAUAGUGGAUCCUUCCUUGUCUUGCUAUUCUCUUUGUCACUACCUCUGCCAGUCUUUCUUGCCACCUCUUCUUCAUCCUUCACUAUAAUGUUACUUCUGUGAUCAUGUAUGUCUCCUUUUUGCUCUGCCCAUGUCUCCAUUCUUGUUUUCAUUCUUGCUCUCUGUAUAUGCUUGAACUUUAUAGACUCUGCUAUAUCUAGAAAUCUAGUUCAUUCAGGUUUCUCUGUGAUUUGGCUAUUUUCUCCCUCUUGUAUAAUUAUUUUCUGUUUUGAGAGCCAUUAACUUUGUGUGUGUGUGUGCCUGUGCAUGUGUUUGUGUCUGUCUCUUUCUUUUCCUCUGCUUAUAUUUUCCCCUACUUUGUUUCUUUCUCUCCAUUUAAAUUAUGCUCUCUAGUGAUAUGUUGCUCUAUGGUAUCAAUGUCUCCAAUAUUGAAAAAUAAAGUAAUUGCAAUUAAUUUUUUUAAUUAAUAGUUUCUUUUUAUCUUUUAUUGCAGUAUGUAACUCUAAUUUUAUAAAAGAGGAAUGCUGAACAAGGACUCCAAAUUCAGUAAUGUAAGUGAAAUUUUUCCAUGUCAUCAAUAUGAACAUUUAAGGUCCACUUUUUCAUGCUCGCAUGGGUCAGAAAAUUUUUGAGGUAGAUUUUCUACAGCUGGAUGCUCUACUUGUUGCCAACCUUCACCUGUUUUCAGGGAAGGUAAUAUUUUCCCAGGUUUCAUCAUUUUUUGCUUGUAUGAUCAUGGUGUUCAUUUACAACUAUCUUAUGGUGUUAAGACAUGAGUAUACAUGAACAAACACCUGCAUGCACACACACACACACACACGAUGAGCUUCCUUCAGUUUCCAUCUACCAAGUUCACUCACAAGGCUUUGGUUGACCUAGAGCUAUAAUAGAAAGCUUGCCCAUGGUGCCCUCCUAUGGGACCAAAAAACACAUGGCUGGGAAGCAAACUUAGUUACAAUCAUACCUGCUCCUAUCAUCAUUACCAUCAUCAUCAUCAUCAUCAUCAUCAUCAUCCAGUGUUUUAAAUCUGGGUUUUGUCCCCAUUAACAGGGGUGGCCAGAUCUACCUUAACGCCACAGCAACCUUUGGGCUGGCUGGUGCCCAUUCUCCUUUGCUAUCAUAUAAUCAUAUAAUUAUAUAAUUUCUGCAAACUUCCAUAUUGCUCUAACAGUAUACUUUGAUCUAUUGCUCCUAUUUCAUAUUGCAUUAGAAUGUUUGGAACCUGCAAAACAACAUUUUUUUAAAACAGUGUGUGAGUGCAUGCAUGCCUGUGCAUGUAUGUUUGAUUCAGUUUAACCCUUUCGUUACUAUAUUUCUGACCAAAAUACACCCCUUAUGUGUUUCAAUUAAUUUCUAACAUAAUCAUAAAUUUAGUCUGGUUUCAUUAAACAACUAUAACUUUUUUAUUUAUCAAUGUAUUAAUGUGAUUUUUGGAAGAUAAUUUAAUGAAAUGUUCUCAACCAAUUCUAUACUAUAAUUUUUGUCACAAAGUGACUCUAAUUGCAGGUAGAUACAGGUAAAUUCAACAAAAUAUAAAAUUAUUAAAAUUUUGUUCAAACAUCGCUAUAGAAAAUGGGCUAUUAGCUAAUAUUCAAUUGGGUAUACAACAAAAUUUUACGAUAGAAUUUGUUAUUCUGGGUGACUUUCUGAUACCCAUAAUAAUAUUUAUGGCAAAAUAGUCUUAAUUUCAUUUAAGGUUGUGGGAAACCACUAACUAUCCUUUCUUUCGCUUUGUUUACAUUUAGCAUAACGGUUCGUUUCCGCCGUAAUGAUUUCAAAUAGGCUCAUUCGAAAAAGUAAAAAGAAAUAGUCUAAGGCUUUACUCUCCUGGGAAAGAUUGUGGCUUGGUCCAGUUUCUUCAGAAAAGUCACCGAAAGAAACAGUUUUUAAAUUUUCACUCCAUUCAGGUGCCAAUUCAUUUUCUUUAUCGCUGUCGGAGCUCUCGGAUUCACUGUUUUCACUUUCGGAAAAUGAAACAUCAGAUUCAUUAUCAAAUACCACGUGCUUUUUUUUUUCAGUCAUAGAGUUAGAUUUAUGAAGGUCUUCAGUAGAAAAUCCUUCGAAUUCUGACUCGCUGCUUGAUAUAAUGAAAUUCGUAUCCAUUUUUUGUCAGAAUUACAAAUUUUGAAAACACAAUAGGAACAAAUUUCGGAAAAAAAUCUCCCAAAAUUCACGGAAUUAAAAUUACACUUCGAUCGUUGUACAAAACUGUAGAUGAACUGUUUACGAAGUAUAAUCACUUGUUUUCACGAAUGUACUAAAGAGAUUUGCUCUGAUAUUCUCAUUUAAAUAUGAAUAGGUAAAUACGGGCGGGUUUGGUGACAUUAACCAAAAUGUUUUUCGGGCAGCUUUGGGCGGUUUGGUAACGAAAGGGUUAAUCAAGCAGUUUUAAGGUGUGUUGGCAAAAUUUUCUCCUUUUUGAAAGACAUUGUUCACACUUAACAAAGUAUUUGAAAGAUUUUACACCUUUAUGAUAAUCCUGCUUCCAUCUAUAUUUAGAGUUAAAAUCUUAAUGAAAUUAAAUUUAAAUUUCAUCAUUCCUAGGUCAGUAAAAUAUGCACCAGUCAAGUACUGGGAUCAUUUUUAUUGACUGUUCCCUAAAUUGAUGGCCAUGCACCUUUGUUAGAACUAUUACUGCUGUACAGAAUGGUUGCUUGAGCAUGCAUUAACCAAAUAAAAGUUAAUGGGUUUGAAGCUUGUUAUCUGAUGAUGCAAGGCCGCAUCAGCCAGAAAUAUGGGUUGCUGGACCAGUGGUCCUGUUAAGAUGCCUGGAGUAUGGUUUCAGCCACAUCUCCCAUUGGCUAAAAUCUGGAAUUAGGCUAUGAUCAGAAUAACCAGUCCUACCCAGAGGACACUCACUGAAAAGCCUGACAAAAGUGGUGAAUAUGAUCACCUCCAUUAUUUAUUACUGCUUGACUUCUGUCAUGUCUUAGUUUUCAUCUGAUCAGAUUGAAAUACCCAUUUUUUGCUAUGUGUGAAAGGGACGCAUUCCUCCAGUCAGAAGGUCCAUCUUUUGGCCUAUUGAUUAUGAGUGUUAUCUGUGUUAGAGGAAAAUCUGUUGAAAGCAUCAGUCAGCUUUGAGUGUAACCUACUCAUUGUUGUCCUGUUUUGUUUCUUAAAAUAGUUUUGUAAUGUCUUAUGUCACAGCUUAAUAUCACUCAACCUGAAAGAAAUAGUAAUUAAAUCUCUCCCUUCAUUAAAAUAGACAAGACAUUAUUAUAAAAGUCUGGUACUGGAAGUUAUUUAAUCAAUUAAUUACUCCUAUUCAUUCUCAGUUUGCAACCUUGUACUUUUGUUAGAAAUUAUUUAUAUAAAAAAUUCCCACUGAUUUAAAUCUUGUAUUCCCUGCUGUUUGUAAGAUAGUUGCUAAUAUGUUACUUAAUAUUUUAUUAAUACUAACAUGUUCUUUGUUAAUUUCCUUUGACCUUUAUUUCCAUUCAACAUUUCAUAAAUUGUUCAGUCAUUUAUGGCUUGCAAAUUUUUAUUAGACUCCAUACCAAAUAGGGCAUGAAAAAUGCCAUUGAUACAGGUGUUUUCUUUAGUACUUAUCACAGCAAGAUCUUUUGAAUUUUUUUUUUUUAUUAUUUAUUUGUAACUUAGUCUGACAAAUUCACUUUGUUAAUUCUACCUGCAUUAUGUAAUUUAGGCCAGUGUGGAAAUAAUGCCACAGUGCUGAAAUAUGCAGAUGACAUCAAGCUGUACCUCAAAAUAAAGAGGUCAGAUCCUGUACACUAUAGAUCUCUAUUGCAAGCAGACCUGGACACAAUGCAGCAGUGGAUCAUGGACUGGCAACUCAAGCUGGCUGUUGACAAAUGUACCACCAUGCAUUUUGGGAGGAGAAACCCAGCAUCCACCUACUCCCUCCACAACACUAAUCUCAAAAAAUCUUCAUGUGAACGUGACCUGGGUGUUAUUGUCGACAGUGAUUUGCAUUGGACAAAACACAUCGCUAAAAUUGUCAAAAAGGUUGAGGGUGUCUUGGCAUCACUCACCAAAUCCUUUGUGAGCUGCUUUCCAACUAUCUAUCUGCAGCUUUAUAUAGCUAUGGCAAGACCUCACCUGGAAUUUGCAUCACCGGUCUGGAACCCCUAUCUUGCCCAGGAUAUUAAUCGUCUGGAAGCUGUUCAGCGACGUGCAACCAAAACAAUACCCUCCAUCAGGCAUUUGUCAUAUUCUGAAUGCCUUACUUUCCUGGGCAUGGACACAUUGAAACUCCGACGUCUGGCAGCUGACUUGGCAGACAUCCAUAAAAUUAUCAACCAUCUUACAAACAAUAACUCUGAGCACCUUUUCAAACUCCACCCGUCUAACACCCGUGGACAUAUUUACAAAGUCAGAAAACAGCACAGCUCCCGUGAUUUUAGGAAACAUUUUUUCAAAACUUCCAUGCUUUCUGAGAUUCGCCAACACUACACCUGAUUUUCUCCCCUCCAUACACACACAAGCAUGUAUCUGACUCAUACAUUGUUCGCUUUCCAGACAUUUGUACAUUACUGCAUAUACUCUAUACACACUUUCUGACAAGUUGUGGUGCACCUGAGCACUGCAUACAAUAAUCUCAUUAUAUAUUAUUAUAAGGAAUGACAGAAAUGAUAGUGCAGAAACACUGAAUCAUUAUAGUACCAAGACUUAUCUGGUUACAUUUUGAGGUUAAAACUGGUCUUCGCCAUCCUACACUUUGGGGUUGGUCAAUUGAAAUGUCUGUGGAUAAAAUAAUUGAUUAUUAUGGUAAUGUUGAAGAGUUCAAAUCCACAUCAUGUAUUUUACUCUGUGUAUAGGUAUGACACUUUAUUUUGAGAAUACAGACCAGAUGUACCUGUGACAAACUGGCAUCCUCUCCAGGGAAAGAUUUUCCUCCUGCUAAAUACCAGAGAAGCUGGAGUUAAGUCUUAUGAAUAUUUGAGUUUUAUGAAUGUAAGUUAAUACUCUUGGGUUCAUUCAGUUAACUAUACCUUUCCCCUGGAAACAAGGCCUAGUGGAAAAAAACCGAUUUUAUUCAAAAUGAUAGCUGUGGCUCUACUAUUUUAUUCAAAAUGAUAGCCUUGGCUCUACUAUAUUGGCCUCUACUUCUCUGAACUAGCAACUUGUACACCAUCUCUACCAAAACUCACUGGACUAAUCCAUCUCUCUUCCCCCUGUUGCCUUACUUGAUACUCUAAUCAUUAUGCUGAAUCCCUCCUCCUCAGUGAUAACUCACUGGAAUUACCUCUCUUCACAUUUUUCCACCAGACAUUGGCAUUUUGAUAUUCUAGCUGAAUAUCAAUUAUAUAAAUCUCACUAGUCUCAGAGAACUAUGAUGAUCUUGGGUUCAACCCCUCCAUCUUAAACAACU
rnacentral:lncRNA from 1 species